rnacentral:lncRNA from 1 species
AAAUGAAAUAGUACCUCUGCCUAGGUUUCUUUUUUGGACAAUCAAGGUAAAUUUCAUUGAAAGAGAAAGCUACUACAAGGUAAGGACAAAUCCAAAAGAGAGUCCAAAAAUAGCCAAGCAAAAACCCAACUCCAUAAAUGAAAACUACAAUGAGAAGGGCCCAAAAUGAGCAGCCCAUAGCAGCGAACAAAUAAAAAAACCUAGACAUGAAAAUGUAAAGUAGCCACCUCCACCAAAACAGCCACACCACCACUACAGAUCCAUCAGCACCACCCAGAAGAAGAGCUAAAGAAACAAAUGGAUGAAUGGAAAAUGGGGGUAGGCAAGCUACUCGCGUUGAGAGCGCUCCCAUAGUUCGACCAAAUAGUGCAAAAUGCACUUUAAAUGCUAUGAACCACCAAAGUGCUCCUCUAAAGGAGAUCCUAGGAGGAGACACCCAAUGAAACGAGCAGCAAGGGUAUAUGGUAGAAGAUUCACGGUGAUGAGUGAUGUUUGGAGAUGAACAAGGCAAAGAAAACAUAUCUGAGAUAAACUUAAGAAACACUAAGACCAAGUUUAGAUCAACUUGAGACAUAAAAUGCUUAGAAAUGAAAUAAGUGAAAGCUAAAUGCAUAAAAAAAAUCUAAAACUCCAACCAUGGUGAUUUGGAGGAGGGGAAAAAGGGGUGGAGUCGGAGGAACAUGGGAGGAUGGUGAAAUCGGGAGGAAAUAGAGGAAGAGAUGGGAGAAAGCGAGGAAAACAAAUGGUGGAAAUAAGGGAAGAGGAAGGAUGGCGAAAAUCAGGGAGAUAGGGAUAAAGCAGAGGGUGGAAGAAAGAGGAAGAGGGAGGAGGGCGAGGAAGGAAGGGCACUGAGCUGUCGUCAACCCCAAGCAAGAGCAAGAGGCCGACGACAGAAAAAGUUUCAGGAAUUUAGGGAGAGAAAGUGGGCAUGGAGUCAUAGGCUGGAAAAGUAGGAUGCUAAGUCUCUUCUGCCUAGUUUGUUGAUCAUCAUUUCCAUCGCAAUUCUCAAAAAAGUCAAACAAGCAUAUUCUACAAGAUUCAUACGCUGGCACCUAACAAGAAAAAGCAUACACAAUUCGGCCCUUCCAUUAUUGAAGCAUCCAUUCACUAUCUUGAUCAAUUACAAAAUCUUUGUGGUGUCAUAACUUCACCUUAUCCUUAAAAAUCUUCACUAAAUCUUGGUCAAAUGCCAAAGGCUGUAAACCAGCCCUCAUAUAUCGAACUUGCCAUUGCUUAUACGUCUCAGGCCUCUCAUCCUUCUCUACACCCUCACAUGUUAUUGCAUUCAUAGUUUCCCUUGUUGGAUUUGACAUUAAAUCAACAUGCCUAAACUAAAAAGGAUUAGGAUAUCUUAGACGCAAGAUAAUUAGAUUUGUGUUUCCUAGUUGGUUUGGGAUUUGGUUUAAGUAUAGGAUUUGGUUUCCUAUAUUCUAGGUACUUUAUGUAAACCGAGGACAUCUAUUAGUAUAAAUAGAUGGAUGUGGGAUAGAGUUUUGUGUGUGAGAGUUUUUUAGAGGCAUAAGUUUGUAUACUUGAGAACACUUUGUGUUUGUGAGUUCUCUUGUAUUUGUUGGUAAUCAAUAAAGCUUCUAUUGUUAGAGAGGUACUCCUAUAUUAGAGGAACCCUGAAUUCGUUGUGUUUUGUUUAUUGCUUGAUUGGUUUUUGAUUUAGUUUAUAACAAGUGGUAUCAAAAGCUUAGGUUUUUACGUGGGUUGUGACUAUCAAGCAAUGACGAAGAUUGGUGAUUCCACCAGUAGUGAUGAUGUUGAAGAAAAGUUUGGCACUAGUGGAACCAAGACGAUGGUUCAGAGAGUGUUAGGUUUGAAAUUGAGAAAUUUGAUGGAACAAACAACUUUGCUAUGUGGCAGUGUGAGGUUCGAGAUGUCUUGAUAUAACAAGGUUUGGUUGUUGUGUUAGGAGACAUGUAGUUUUCGAUGAAAAAAGAAGAAUGGGAAAGAUUGAAUGCUCGUGCAUGUUCUACAAUUUGGCUAUGCUUGGGAAAACAAUAGAAGUAUGGUGUAAUGAACAUAACUUUUGCGAAAGAAUUGUGGGCAGCAUUGGAGACAAAAUAUAUAAAGAAGAGUGCAGAGAAUCGAUUGCAUCUCAAGAGCAAGUUGUACAGGUUCCAGUAUAAAGAGGGCACGAAGAUGAUUGGCCAUCUAGAAGAGUUUAACAAGCUUCUAGCUGAACUGGAAAUCUUGAAGAGAUAUCAAGAUUGCAUGGCCUGCAUGGUAUAUCCAGUGCCAGUAAUUGAGGCUGAAAUUCCCACUAAUUUUGAAGAAGCAGUAAAUAGUGAAGAAGAGAGUAAAUGACAUGACGCAAUGAACGAUCAAAUGUUCUCCUUUCACAAGAAUAAGACUUAGGAAAUGGUGGAGCUGCCUAGAGGAAGGAAAACAAUUGGCUACAAAUGGGUUUAUGCAAAGGAGGAUGGAGUGGAUGACAAGAGCUUGGUAAGAUUUGAAGCUACGCUAGUGGCUAAAGGAUAUGCUCAGAAUGAGGGAAUAGAUUACAAUAAGAUUUUUUUUCUCCUAUGGUUAAGCACUCAUCCAUUUGAAUAUUGCUUGCCCUAGUUGCACAAUUCAACCUUGAAUUGGUACAACUAGAUGUGAAGACUGCAUUCCUUCAUGGUAAUUUAGAUGAAGAGAUUUAUAUGAGACAACCCGAUGGGUAUCUAGUGAAGGGCAAAGAAAGAUUGGUUUGUAAGCUUAGAAAUCUCUUUAUGGUUUGAAGCAAUCGCCCAUGCAGUGGUAUUUAAGAUUUGACAAGUUUAUGAAAGGUCAAGACUAUACAAGAAGUCACUAUGAUCACUCUGUUUAUCACAAGAAGUUGAAAGAUGGUUUGUUCAUGUACUUGUUAAUCUAUGUGGACGACAUGCUUAUAGCCUCAAGUAAUAUUUCAAAGAUAGAAAAGUUAAAGGAGCAAAUGAGAAAGGAGCUUGAAAUGAAGGAUCUCGGUGAAGCCAAGAAAAUAUUGGGACUGAAGAUCACAAGGGAUAGACAAAUUUGUCUCAGAAGCAAUAUCUUGAGAAGUUGUUACAAAAGUUUGGAGUAACAAAAAACACUAAGCCUGUAGGAACUUCAUUAGGUGCUCACUUCAAGUUGAGUAGUCAACAAUGUCCCAAAACCGAUGAAGAAAAGAUGAAGAUGGAUGUUAUUCCAUAUGCUAAUUUGGUUGGAGGAUUAAUGUAUGCUAUGGUGUGUACUCGUCCUGAUAUAGCAUCCGCAACUGGAAUUGUUAGUAGAUUCAUGCAUAAUCCUGUAAGAGAGCAUUGGAAUGAUGCUAAGUGGAUACUAAGGUAUUUACAUGGAAUGAGGGACAAAGUUAUUUGUUUUGAAAGAUGUGAUGAAGGAAUUGAUAAGUUCUCAAUUUGAUAUGUGGACUCAGACUUUGCUGGAGACUUAGACAAGAGAAGAUCGACGAUUGGGUAUGUGUUUACUAUGACAAAUGGUCAUAUAUGCUGGAGAACAAUUUACAACCAACGGUGGCACUAUCAACCACAUAAGCAGAAUACAUGGCGAUCGCUAAAGCACAUUGAUGUACAUCAUGCUAGGACUAAGCACAUUGAUGUACGAUAUCAUUUUGUAAGAGAAGUGUAGCUGAAGGUGAGAUUCGUCUAAAAAAGGAUGCUACAAAAGAUAAUCCAGCUGAUAUGUUGACAAAGAUGGUUAAUGCAACUAAGUUCGAGAACUGCUUGGAUUUGGUGCAGUUGAAGCAAGUUUGAUCUUGCGAUAUGGUGGAGCAACAAAAGUUGUUUGAUGCCACGUUAUGGAUUUCAUGCCAAGGUGGAGAUUGUUGGAUUUGGCAUUAAAUCAACAUGCCUAAACUAAAAAGGAUUAGGAUAUCUUGGACGCAAGAUAUUUGGAUUUGUGUUUCCUAGUUGGUUUGGGAUUUGGUUUUAGUAUAGGAUUUGGUUUCCUAUAUUCUAGGAACAUUGUGUAAACCUAGGACAUCUAUUAGUAUAAAUAGAUGGACGUGGGAUAAAGUUUUGUGUGUGAGAGUUUUUGAGAGGCAUAAGUUUGUAUACUUGAGAACACUUUGUGUUUGUGAGUUCUCUAGUAUUUGUUGGUAAUCAAUAAAGCUUCCGUUGUUAGAGAGGUACUCCUAUAUUGGAGGAACUCUGAAUUCGUUAUGUUUUGUUUAUUGCUUGAUUGGUUUUUGGUUUAGUAUAUAACAUCCCUUCCAUAGAACUCACUCUCAAACUUCAACCUCUCUUCAUUGUCACGGGGUAUAUUAAUAUCAAAUGCAUCAUACAAGGAAGAGUAGUGGAAAAGAGCUUGCUGAAAUUUAGUAAAUUAUUUACCCUUGUUUUACAUAACUCACAUGGCGGUCAUCUGAUUGCAGAUACCAAUAUGUUGCAUGGAAUUUUGAGUGUCCUACUUCCCACAUUUUUCUAGGUUCAGUUGUAUGUCUAUGGAGAAGGCAUUGGCUCACAGUCCAUUGAUUUCAUGCGGCUUGUUCAUCAUGAUAUAGAUUGUUGAGAAUGAGUCCCAUACUUAUGAGAAAAGAGAUCUUGCAUGGGUUUAUAAGAGGUUGGGAACCUUAACUUUCUUUAUGGUAUUAGAGCACCUUGUCUCGCGUGUGAAACCAAAUGGCCAGCACGCUCCACGUCACCCCGUUGUGUUGUCCCAUGUGUGAAACCAAACGGCCACGCAUGAUCCACGUCACCUCAUUGUGUUGCCCACGUGUUAAGCUUGAAAUUCACUACACAUGAGGGGGCGUGUUGAGAAUGAGUUCCACAUUGAUGGAAUAAGAGACCUUGCAUGGGCUUAUAAGAGGCUAGACUACUCCCUAUGUUGCCAAUUGAUUUUAUGGUGAAACUUCAAUUUCUUUAUAUAUCAAGUUCAUCAAGUUUUUGUAAACUUAUCAAAAACAUAAGUCAACAGAUUAAGCUCAUAAAUCACAAAUUAUACAACUUACAAGUAUCAAAAUUGCAAUUGGAUAACACAAGAACCAAAAAACAAGGUUGGAAACUUUUUUGGGAUGGCGUAAAUGCAUGCUAAGAGAUAAGGAGGAAGACAAGUUAAAAAAUAAUGGACAUGCAUGGCUCAAGUGGUGAGAAUUCUUUGUGCUUUAAUUUGAAAAGAAUGGGCUUUUUAUUUUACCAUUUUUUUUAAAAAACAUUUGAAAGGGAGAAAACUUAGUUCAUGUCAAAGAAGAUUAGACGAGCUAGACUAGACACUAAGAUCCAGAUUUUUCCUGUCAAAACAACUUACACCUUUUUCUCGUUAAGAGCAAUUGGAAGGAGCUACGCCCCCGAUAGAACGCCCUCCAGUCCCUCUAAGAACACGAGCUAAGAAAACUCUGUUGAUGCACAAAAUUCGGAAGAUCUUGGACCAACGUAAAUCCGGCCGUGAAUCACACAAACGCACAAGAACACAAAGACGUAUCGUGGUUCACCCCCAAUAUUUGGGCUACGUCCAUACUGAUGUUGAUUAUGUAUGUAUGUAUGGAUUACAAUAGAUCGGCAAUGGAGCUCUUUAUGGAUGCAGCUCUUGCCCUUUUGCUCUUUGUUUGGCUGAUAGGGUAUUGCCCUCUGUUUGGAUGUGUGAGGAUUGAGUAUGAGGCUCUCUCAGUGAAGGUGAGACUGAAUGUGUGUUCAUGAGGGUGAGGGGGAGUCCCUUUUAUAGAAUAAGGGCUCCCUCCCCUUUUACAUUUGUCAUGGGCUUAGGGAUGAGGCCCAAAGACGAGGCCCAAUAUAUGGUACCAACAUGAGUCCCUCAAGUAUUCAGUCAAAAGAGUCUUUUGGCUGGAGACUUCAAAUCUAAUCCAUGUACGGGCCGAAGUGACUAGAUGUCUUGAACCAAUACUCAACACAAGAUAAUGCUUAACAUAAAGCAAUACUCGGCUAGAGGUAUCACACGUUAUGAGACUGUUCUCGGCUGAAGGUGAUGCUCGUUGAGAGGCUGCUCGGCUAGAGGCUAUGCUCGUGGUGAGGCGGUUGCUCGGCUGGAGGCGAUGCUCGUUGCGAGGCUGCUCGGCUAGAGGAUAUACUCACUCCGAGACGGCUCGGCUCGUGGUAUUCCUCAUUGCAAGUAUGUACCUUAUGUCAGCGUGCACUCAGUAUGAGUUGAUUCUUGACAUGACUCCGGUCUGUUUGUCGGGUUCGCAUAUUAGGUUCUUUUAAUCAGCAACAAUGUUGAUCAGUGGAUCUAGUUGCUCAAUAAUUCCUGACAAUAAAUGACAAUAUAAGUAUGACUGUAUAAUGAAUAGAUCAAAUUGACAAAGUUUGUUAAGGCAAAAUAUUGUACUGGCAAAAUAUUGCAGGUGAGCUGCGACUACGCCGGCGGAGUCACCUCCGACCAACUUGAUCUUCAUGCUAAACCAUCCAAAUCUGUACUUUUGUUUCGUUUGAAAUCCAUAACAUGUGUCUUUGUUGAGGGAAAGAUACCAGAUCUGCUUAUCUUCUGAAGUUGUAAAAUGGUCGUCAGACCACGAAAUUAUCCUUGAAAGAACUUUUUGGGGCUGCCUCUGAUGAAGAACAACAAAGAGCAGCCAUGGUAUUAUGGGUCUUUGGAUAUGGUUCACUUGUAUGGAACCCAAGAUUCGAGUACGACGAGAAAGUGAUAGGUUACAUCAAGGACUACACGCGUGUGUUUGAUCUUGCAUGCAUUGAUCAUGGAGGUACACUUGAGCACCCUGAUGCGAAAAUUAACUUAACACACAAAUUUAACCCUCUUUUGACAACUGUAGUAUAAGUAUAAGUAGGGAUCGUUCUGGACCGGGGAUUAGGAGGGCUUGCUAAUAACCUCUAAACUGACUCAAAAACAUAAAACUAAACUUAAAAAAUACUUAACAAGACUCACAAGACUCAAAGCAAACUUAAAAUACUCAAAACAUCUUAAAACAACUAAAUAAACUUAAACUAGACACUAGGAAUGACCUUGGGCGAAAAUUGACUUUUACUUGAAUCAAAACAUUUAAAAACACAAAUUAAAACAGAUUCUAACUAAUUAGACACACUAAAGUAAAGGGGGAUUGAGUUUUGGAUAAAGUUGAAACAAACAAACAAGUAUGAAAAACUAGACAGAUUGUAAAACAAAUUUGAGAAAUAAGAUGAUGGAUGGGAUAGCUAGAGGCUUUUUCUCCACACAUGACAUGUAUGCAAAUACUUAAUUUCCAGUUACUACUUCAUUGAAUUAUGAACGACAAUGCUCCAAAUUAACCGUGACAUCACUAGUUAACCCUCAGAUUUUCCUUGUUUUAUUGGAUUGGAUUACAUCAUUCGACAACCCAAAACAUUCUUCAAAAGUUCUCUACAUGACAUCAUAAUAGAGAUACAAUCAAAGAUCAUUACGUUUAAUGAAAAUCAUAAGCAUUGACAAAGCAUUUGCAACUAUGACAUCAUGUCACUCAUGCUAGGAAUUAAACUUAACGCGAUCGUUUAUAAGCGACCUCCACUACUUAUGAAUAUAAGUUUGUAACGAUUAUGUGAAACUUUCUUAUAUUCUAGCAUCGGAUUUAUGCAUGCCAAUUAAGUGUCGACCCUUAAUUAACAAAUACAAAUAAGUUAUCAAUCAAAUAGUUAAGCCAAUUGCAUUCACGAUUCAAUAGUUCAUAACUGGAAUUUAUCAAAUUAUAUUGCACACAUAAUCAUGGCUUUGAAAUCACCCCUAGCCAAAAGGGGUUUAGCCACUCAUAUUUACAACAAAACGAAAGGAAAUGAAUUUAAACAUUAGAAACAAAAGAAAGAAAACACCUAAACGCUCUAACGAUCCAAGUUGGACAACAAGCAUGUCCAAGCACUUUCCUUCCCUUCCUUUGCUACGGCACAAGAUGUUGGUGAGUGUUUGAAGGUUUGUUUGUAUGGAGGAAUGGAUGUGAAGAUGAAUGGAUGUGUUUGGAUGAAGGUUGUGUUGAAAUGGGAGUGAAUGAUCUAACAAACUAUGAACUCAAUUUAUGUUACACACAUUUCCUUUUAUAGAGGAAGUGCAAGGCAAUGGAGGGGGACAUGGAGUGGUGUUGAAAUGAUUCAAAGGUGAAAGUGAAAUAAUGAUGCAAAGCAUGGGUAAAAUGGAGUGGUGUUGAAAUGAUUCAAAGGUGAAAGUGAAGUAAUGAUGCAAAGCAUGGGUAAAAUGGAGUGGUGUUGAAAUGAUUCAAGGGUGAAAGUGAAGUAAUGAUGCAAAGCAUGGGUAAAAUGGAGUGGUGUUGAAAUGAUUCAAAGUAAUGAUGCAGGAAAUUUGAAAUGAUGGAGGGAACAAGGAAUUGUGUAGCAAUUAAGUGCAAUGAGGGAACAUGGAUGAUGAUAAGGUAAUCUUGACUCAUGUUUCUUAUUUGGUUGUUGAGCUCUUUGUCAUUUUACAUUAAUUCUUCUUUCUUUUUAACACAUUCCAAGCCUCUUUAGUUUUCCAUUUCGUCUAUCCACCUUGCUUCAUGCAUGUGCUAUCCAUUCCAAGCCCAAAACUGCUCCAAAAUGCACCAAAAUGCACCUUAUUGCUGUAUAAGGCCUAUGGACCUACAAACACACGAAAAUAGCUUAAAAUACAUAAUUAACUUAGAAAUAACAACAUAAAUGCAUGAGAACAAGCUAACUCAGUCGCAUAAAUAUGCUCCUAUCACACCCUGCUCGGACUUGCACUUUGGAUUACCAAGAAGGAGUUGUCUUUGAGAGAUUUUGAAGAGGUUGCUGCCGUCGGGGCUGUUGUCAGCGGCGAUGAUGUGCAAGGGGUGGAGGGAGACGAGGAUGAGGUUGUGGAAGGCGGCGGAGAUGCUUAGGAUUAGGGUUCCGACAAGGGCACAUCCUCCUCAUCUCAUUUCUUCGAAUGACAGCGUUGGGUUCACCCUGGAUCACCAUAUACUUCAUCGCUGCUGCUGCUACCUUCUUUGGUUUCGGUGGAGCUCACCACAGACUCGACAGGGGAGUUCAUGGUCGAGUUGGAGUCAAACGAGUCAAACGCGUAGAGGAACUCAGUGGGGAAGCUGAUGCGGGAUUUGAGGCAGUUCCAGCAGAAGAUGUGGUCUUUGUUGCUGUCGUCCAUGUUGCAGUGGAGCACGACGUCGUCCGUGAGGAAGUGGGAAUGGAGAUGGAUUCUCUGGAAAAGCUUUGGGUUCCUGGGUUGUGCAGAUUCACGAUGGACAGACAGCAACAAAGACCACAUCUUCUGUGAGGACUUUGGUACAACAGUUGAUGCACAAAAUUGAGAGAGAAAUUGAGAGAGAACCGACAUAGCUUUUCGUGUCGUUUCCCACAGACGGUGCCAAAUGUUGAUGCACAAAAUCAGUGAGGACUUUGGUACAACAGAAAGUGUUAAGUUUGUGACAUUCGCUAGAUUGCUCCGGUCACUAGUGUGGAUAAGUAUGUAAAUGGAUAGGGACAGGGAAACAAACACAAGAUGUACGUGGUUCACCCAGAUUGGCUACGUCCACAGAGUAGAGGAGUUCUCAUUAAUUGUGAAGGGUUUACACAAGUAUAUAGGUUCAAGCUCUUCUUUAGUGAGUACUAGUGAAUGAUUUGGUACAAAUGACAUUAGGAAAUAUUGUGGGAAAAUGAUCUCCUUUUAUAGAAGAGAGUUUCUAGCUUUGUUCUGACAUUGACACGUGUCAUGUUGUGAUUGGCUUCUGAUGUUGACACAUGUUGCGCUAUGAUUGGCUUUUGAUGUCGACAUGUGUCGCGCUGUGAUUGGCCUCCUGGUUGGAGGGAAACUCUUCUAGGUCUUUAACGGUAUAACGUUGACCGGUGCUCAGUAGUUUCAGGAUUGGUCAAGUAUGGUACAAACAAACUCUAUUACAAAAUACUCGACUGUUCUAUUUAUACCAAUUCAAAGGCGGCUACUCAAAUAUUUGUUCUCACGAUAUAUUAAAUGAGUCUUGUUGGUCAAAUUGAUGAAGUGCUUAGUCAUAUGUGGGUAAAUAUUCUCAAAGUAAACAACUAAACUUUUGGAAAAAAAAAAAAAGCCCAACUAAACUAGCACUCAACUAACCGGGCAAAUUACUUGAACUUGAUUCAAUAGAGUCUAAAGUAAUACAAAUCACACUAAAAUGAUCUUAAAUUUAUUUCAGAUGAUGGGCAUAUUGAUCAUGUACUAGAUAUGGGGACCUCAUGGGCUUUUCGCACAACAAAUUCCACGGGAAGCCUAACCUAAUUAACAUGAUUUAAUUUGUUUGAGUUUUCUCUUAAUAUAUAUCUAAUUAAGAAUACAAUUUUUUUUUCUUCUCAAAUAAAAAAAAAAGAAUACAAUUUUUUAAGGGAAUUAUUGUUCGCACUGUAAAAUUUUUAUUUUGCACUCCAAAUUUUCUAUAAUUAAAAAGAAUAUUGCAUGCAGUUAUGAAGAAUGUAGAAUGAGAUUUUUUGAGUGUUAAUAACAAUUUUUUUUUUAAAUAUCACAAGUUUCUUUAAUAUAUAUAGACACUGUUUUGUUAAUACCAUAAUUUUAUUAGCUAUAGUUUUAUUUUUUUUGAGAACUUUUUAUUAGCUAUAGUUUGGUUUAAACUUAUUAUACAUGGAUUUAUAUUUAACUAUCACAAGUUUAAAAGCAAGUUUGUUAUGCUAACUUAUCAAGUACCAAUCACUUCAUUGCCAACUUACUUUUUUUUUUAAUGGGGGAAAUGAUAAGCCACGGUUAUCCACCUCUUUUAGGCCCAGAGAGGCUAUGAUGAAUUUCACCCUGCUUGUGGCCACAAUCAAGCAAACUCACCAGCUCGGCAACAUCAAACCCGUUGUUUAUUGGGGAGUCGCAAUCUACGCCUUUACCAUUGGACCACUUAUUGUGUUUCAUUUCAACUUAUCAUGUAAAGGAUAUUGACUAUCUUUUUUUUUUCUUUUUUUCUUUUUCCUUUUCCGAGGGGUUAAAAACGUAAGUAUCAUAGUCAAAUAUUUUAUUUUAUUUUAUUUGUAUUUCUAAGAUAAUAUCUUGUCUGCUACCUCUCGUAGUACCACUGCAAUUUGUUUUCUUACUACUCGGUAUGAUGCAUUACAUAAAUAUAAGCAUGCAAAUCUAUGUAUUAGAUCAAUAAAAUUUUUUUUUAUGUAUUACAGUUUACUUACAAGAAAUAAUCCAAGAAAAAUGAAAUGACAUUAAGGCAGAUAGCUCAAAUACAGGAAAAUAAACAACACAAGACUAAACAUUAUUGAUGCAGAAUUGUAUUAUUGUACGUAAAUAGAAUUUACCGUUGUAAUAGUUACAAUACCAUUCACUAAUAUGCAAACAUAAUCAACUGUUGCACACUCGAGCAUCAUGCAGACUGAUAUUAAUAUAUAUUUGGAUCCUUAUAUAUCAGUCAUGAAGAUGAAGUCCCAUGAUUAUUUAUAAACACAUACAAUAUCAUUCCUCUCAUCAAUGUGAGAUUUAUUCUCAACCAUUUAUAAAUCUUUUGUUGUAUUAAACACCUGCGGCGGAAGCCAAUGGAACCUGCAUGCAGCUGCAGUAUUCUGCAAGAGCCAUUAACGGGAAAGUAAUGCAAUAAUUUGCGUAGUGUAACAUGCAAUUACUAAAGAAACCACCUGUCAAUUCCUGCAAAAAAAAAAAAAUUAAAAUUAAAGUUAGUUAGAAUGGUAGUUUAAUUAUUUAUUUUCCGCUCCUCCACUUGCAUAGUUGCAUAUCAGUGAAUGCAUAUUAUUUUUAAGAAAAAAGCUAAUUAACCAUCAUUAUCCAAUAUUUAUAUAUGAGAAUAUGACUUUAAUCCUUUGAAACUUAACUUUCGUUAGAUAAAAUCAAACAUUAACUUUUUACUUUAAAACUUAUUGACUAGGCUCCACACAAGCAAAUACAUUAAUUAUGUUUGACUUCACCAAUUGUACAUUUUCGAAUGCCUAAAAUACCCUUAAUAACAUUUUUUACCUAUACAAUUAAUUGUAUACGAAUUAAAAGGUGGAUUAAUGAUUCUUGAAAAGACAAAUAAGCAUUAAUAUGUCUUCAUACUGUGAUUAUAAGUAGCUAAAAAAGGUCAAGAGGAGUAAUUAGAAUUUAAUGCCCAUAUUAUGUGGGCAUGAUUGAAGUCAAAAUUGGAGGGUUGUGUGAGAAAACGUUAGAAGGGUAGUGGCAUAUGUUGUAAAUUAUCUGAAGUAAUAGGUCAAUUAAUUUUUAACAUGGCAUCAAAUUUGAAUUUUGGGUUUAUAUUGGAUGUUUAAAGAUAAAUGAGUUUUUAUUUAAAAAUCACGAGUUGUAUGAGUCUAUAUCUAAAAAAGGUCGUACCCAGUGCACAAGGCUCCCGCUUUACGCAGGGUUUGGGAGAGGUGAAUGUCGGCUAGCCUUACCCCCAUUUAUGGAGAGGCUGCUCCCAAGUCUUGAACCCGAGACCUACCGCUCAUGGACGAAGGCACUUGCCAUCGCACCAAGUGCGACCUCUUUGUAUGAGUCUAUAUCUAAAGAACAUAAAUAUUCAUUUUUCCUCUGAGAAAUGAUUAUCUAGCAGCAUAGAAAGCGGUACCUGUUGAGGGAAUCCACCGUUCUCCAUCUGAGAAUUGAUUAACAGCUUCGCAGCACGGUGAAGAGGAGUCGGGUCUCUUUCUGCCUAUUACAAUUUUAUAAAACAAGUGUUAAUUAAUGCUUAAUAGCUGAAUGAAAUUUUGUUUACGAGACUAUUUUUAGUUUUUUAAAAGUCAUUAGUUCACCUGCUGGGCAUGAAUUAAACCCAUUAAAGCCCAUGCAGUUUGUACUAAGUUUGAUCUUCUUCCUUCGAGUGGUAUUAAUUUCUGCAUAACAAUAAAGAACCAAGCCAUUUCUGCUGCUUAGAGAAGACACAAAAUUUCUGGUGUUUUUCACUAUGCCAACUAGCCAAGAUAACCGAACACCAUUGUUUGGGCAUGAAAUCCUAGUUACCUUGUUUGGGCAUGAAAGGUAGCUCUCUCCCCAUCCACCAUCAUCUCCUUGGGUUGUAAGUAGAAAGCGAACACCAUUGCGCAUAGCCGGACAAUUGUAAUAAGUUUUUCCAGCAGCUGCCAAACCUUUAAGCGCAAACCAUGCACCGUAUGUGAAGCAAAUUCCCCAAACUGCAUACCUGUAAUGAUUUCCCAUAUGUAAUUAAUUUCAUUUUCUUUUUACCAAAGUAAAUAGAGGAUUAGGCGAUGUUAGCUCCUCAGUAUUAAUCUGAAUGGUGCCCACAAUCCCUAUUAUCUUAACAAACCUAUAGCAGAGAAGUUGUGAUAGGUUAUGAAGAUAAGAAGCAACAGCACAAGGAAGACAAAAAUCCCACCCAAAUGGUUUCAAAUGUUUAAGUGUCAAAGAAAUGUUUGGAACAAAUUUUAAACCUUCAAAUGCACAGAGCAUACCAUGAACCAUCAGGGUUUUGUGUGUCUUCAAGAUAUUGUGCAGCGCGAACAAUAAAUUCUUCUAUCUCUUCCUUCCUAUGCUCAGGAUGUAACUUUUUGAACAAAACCAUAGUUUGUAAUGCCGAGGAAGUGAGCUCAACAUACCUAGAUCAGUUAUGGUUUAAUUAUUUUAUUUGGAGCCAAGAAUAUGAAGAAAAGAUUAAUGAAAUGAAGAGCAAGAUCAGGAUCUUACUCAUGCUCAAUGACGAUGUUCUCAAGAAAAUCCACGGGAUUAAGCAUCUAGAAAGAGACAAAUUAAAAAGACAACUUGUAGUGAUAUAUGCUACAUAAAAUGUAAAUUGUAUGCUUACUCCCAAUUACCAUACCUCCAACCAUGAUGGAGCUCCUGCUGGCUCCCAUAUUGAUACACCACCAUUUUUACUCUGCAUAUGAAUAAUUCAUAGAACCUUCUCUUUUCAUCCAUUAAAGUAAUGGAACUUAAGGAAAGCCAGAGUACCAGAAAAGGAAAGACUUCAGAAAAGCACUAAACACACCUGCAUAGUGAGCAGGAAGUUAACAGCAUCAUAUCCUCGCUCCAGUUCGAUUUUAUCACCAACAAUUUCUGAUGGCAUCAUUGAGAGUAGUAGGCAACACUGUGUACAAGAGAAUAUAUCAUACAGAGUUUUGAAGUAAGAUGUAUUGCAUGCAUUUUCAGAAGCUUAUAAAUUCUCAAUAUGGUUUAAUUGUUGCUUUACCUUCAGAUUUUCUGAAAGGGAAUCAGAAGCUGGCAAUCCGUGAUCUUGAUCAGACAAAGUCCAUGAUCCCUUCGAAGUGCAUCGAAACAUGCUCUUAAAAUCACCAACAGGAUUAUCCCUCACCUUCAAAAUUGUAGUGGGAUGUACAGAACAAGUAAGCCCUUGACGAUCAAAUUUGUAGUGGGAUAUAUAGAUCAUUUUGGACGAAUUUUAUUAGUAACCUCAGUUUCUUCUUGGGUUUUCAUUGAUUUUUCUAAAAAAACCUAAGGAUGAUUGGAGUAAUAUCUUUUACAUCAUAGAUUAAAGAAGGGAAUGAAUACAAUUGAGCAUAUAAUUCUUAUAUAACUAAAAAACCUGGGAUUUCUUUAUGAAGUCAUGUCCUUUCAUAAGUGUGGGACCAGUCUCAGAAGCACUUAGGUUGCGAGUGGCAGCAAGAAAAGCUUCAAUGAUAUAAGCAAUAUCCCAAGAUUGAGUACCCAGACUCUGCACAGUAUGAUGGCAACAGUCCAAACUCAGCGCCUCAUUGUCUCUUGGAGAACCAUAUUCAGCAAUUAAAACGACUAUAUAAUUUUUUUAAAGGAAGACUCCACGGUACCUUAUUAAAAAAAAGAGAUAUCGGUACAAUCUAAGAGACACUAUGAUGACUCUAUAUUAUAUUUAAGGGUACAUAAUAUGAUAAGGUUCAUGUUAGUGACAAAGAAUGAUGUGAUUUAUUACGAUAAUAAGAUUAAUAGUUACAUUGUGGACGUCCUAUACAUUGUCAAGGUAAGUUUGUGUACUUCAACAUGAUUCAAUUACAAAAUUCCAUUUAUUGUUAUACCAAUGACAUACUAUUAUAGUAUAGACAUUUGUUAUUAGGGAAUGUUAUGAACUUACAACAUUGUUAUCGUGUUACAACAUAAACCAACAUACAAGAUCUAAGGUAAGGUUACACCGUAAUAGUUCAAAUUUACACUACCCAGUUACCUACUUAUAGUAACGUUAUAUUCAAGGGGUUUUUGAACAUUAGUCCUUGAAAAAAAUUGAAAUUAAAAAAAAAAAAAUCUGGUGUUAGAUACAUAUUGAUUUUAAUUCUUUAAAGUGUACCUUUAUUAAAAUUCAUAUUCUAUUUUUAUUUAAUGUCUUCAUUAAAAAUUUUGAUUUUAUUAAUAUGCACAUUUUAAUUCUUUCAGUUAUAAAUAAACCUAAAUGAGAAAAACUUUAAAGAAAUUAGUGAUGCAUUAGAAAAAUAUGUAAUUACAUAAGUUUGCAGAAAUGAUCCCCUUUUAAAAGAAAAAAAAAUUAAGUUAACGUGUUUGUACCUAAAUGUCUAUACCUAAAUGUUUGUAUCGAAAUACAUUAUAAUGAAUUAGUAUACCUAAAUAUUUCUACCGAAAUAUUGCGUACCUAAAUUUUUGUACCGAAAUAUAUUUAUAAUGAGUUAGUAUACCUAAAAUAUAUGUACCAAAAUAUAUUAUAAUAAAUUACUUAGACUUGGAAAAAGGAAAAUUAUGAAAUUACCAAAAAAUAAAAUAAAAAUGACAUAGAACAUAAAUACUAACAUUUAAAUAAAACAAGGGACUAAACUCAAUUUUGAAUCUUGUAUCAGGCAUUAAACUAAACCUCAUCUUAUUUAAAUAUUAAAAUCUAUUUUUCUACAUAUUUUUUACUACCACUAAUGAUAUUGGUAUCUCUAUACCAAGGUUCCGCUUUAUGGUGUGGACGUUAGGUUACACCGUAAUGGUUCAAAUUUACACUUCAAAGUUAUAUAAUUAUUUUAUUGUUAUAUUUAAUUACACCAAAUGAUGUCGGUAUUACCAUACGUACAUUGCUCUUUAGGGUCUAGACGUUAAAUUACAUUGUUAAAGGUAGUAUAUUACAGUUGAACGUUAUUGCAUUAGAGUUUAACAUUUAAAUUAAAUGAUGCCGGUACCUUUAUUUUUAUUUAAGUACUGUAGAUGGAUCCUAGAACUGAAAUUCAGUAGUAACAAAUUCAAUAUAUACUAAAACUGAAAAUCAAUUGAAAUACUGUUGAUAAUAACAUUGUAGUUCCGAUUUUUUCCUUGCUUAGUUUGUAUUAUUAUAAGUCUGCCAUUCUGUCCGCUGAGUUCUUGAGCCGUCGUUUACUCUCUUGGACAGCACAGCGAGAAAACUCAAUUUCCUCCUCCACGUCUACGUUCGCUCGACUUCAAUUCGAACCAAAAAAAUCUCCGACAGCCCGCACAACCCAUCAAACCCUAGAAAUCAUUUCUUUUUUUGGGCAUCCGGAGGGCUCCUCCUUAUUUGUCUCUGCUCUUUGUUCUCUCCAUUCGAUUCAAUUUCGGUGAGUUCUUCGUUGAUCCUUGCCCUCAUAGUUUCCUAAUUUGAUUUUCUUGGGUGUCUUUAGCCGUCAUUUUGAUCUGGGUUUUCUGAGUUGUUGCUUUUAGUUUUUGGGUUUUAAUUUUUUCGGUGGUUUGAUGAAUCUGUGUGCGAGUAUUUGGUGUUUUGUUAAUUAAGUUGUAUUUGGGGCCUAGGGUAAGCUCAGAAACUAAAAGAAUUGAGUUCUACUGAUGAAAUAGGUUUCUUUUGGGAAUGCUGUUAGUAGUUUGAAUGGCUUACGUAUAAACAUACAUUGAACUCCUUCAAUUCUAUUCCUUUAUGAAUAGUUUAAUUGAUACGGCCUAUUUGUUGAUGAGAUAGUCUAUCAAAACGUUAUGUAGUUCUACCAAAAGGUUAUGGAGUUCAAUGCGCGAGGAAUUAUCUGCAUACCUGAAGGAUGAAUUUAAGGUAAAUUAUACUAAAGAUGGUAGUAACUCAUCUCUACCUCCUUCCCCUCUACUUGCACCAAUUGUGACAGAUUUUCCUUUUUGGUUCUAUCUCAGGAGUUUUUCAAAGAGAAAGUUCGUGAACGAAAGAAAUCUAAUCCAGAGAUAUUUUAUUUUUUGGCAGAUAUAUAUCAUGCAUUAUAUUUGGGUGUUUGAACAUGUUUGUCUAAAAGUAUACUCUGUUUUUUAGCGUACAACUUUUUCUCUUUCCUAUUAUAUAUUUUAUAGGCCAAAGAAGCCCAGAGAAAAGCUAUUGAAGUAAGAAGUGAAGAGCUAAAGCAGCAUUUGAAAGUAUGAUUUAAGUUUUACUCUGUACUUACACAAGAUACUCCUGACAUUUCAAAUACAGUAACUUCCCAAACACUGAUAAUUUGGUUUUCUAUUGGUAUAUGUGAAACCAGCUUGAUAUACGUUACAAGGUUGAGGGUUGAGGAUAGUUGGCAAAUAACAAAAGUAAUUUAUUGUCUAGCGUAUAUAAUAAAACCAACCAUAGAAUAAGAGUGUCGUUUUGCUCUAAGUUUUUGAAUUAAUGUAAGAAUGGUUUUCUUAUUUAACUUGCCAAAUGCAUAAAUAAUUAGAUUAUUCUGUAGUAUUUUGCUGUGGUGGUAUUAAUUUUUUUUUGAGUACAUCGUAUUUUUACACUAAAGGGAGGAGGAGUUCGGCUAAGCCACACAAUGGAAAGCCUAAUUUGGUAUCGAAUUCGCUAUCCACGAGAUUUAAACCUAAAACCUCUCACUUCCAGGUGAAGAUGAAUACCACCAGACCGUAGUACUGAGUGACUUAUUCUGUUUUUAGAUGGCUUAAUCUGGCUUAUUCUGUAAUUUUCAUGUCUAAUUAGGUACUAAUGUUUCUACUUUCUGUGUUCUGUAAAUUUUUUUGGUCAUGAGUUGUUAUUAGUUUCUAUUGACAAGGAAAUGCUUGAGUUUGCAAUUCAACCCAUAGAUUUAAUGUAAUUGUAUUUUAUCGUAUUUAUGAGGAAAUCUAUAUACGGUCUAUGACAAUAAAUUACUAGCCUUCAUAUUGGUUUGUUAUAAUUAAUUUGGAAUGGUUGGUUUCAGCAGCCAUCUAAGAAGGAACAAAUUGAUGUGGAAUGAGAUAUUGCCAAUGCCAAUGAAUUGUGGAGCUCAUUAUCGAUUCUUGGCCUGAUGCAAGUACUCCACUUUAUGUUUUUCUGUCUGCCAUGUGUUUUCUUCUUUUGUUUAAAAUAGAAGUCUUAGUUCCAAUAAAAAUAUAACCUCUUUUAACACUUUGUAUAUGCAUGAAUUACCCCAAACUAGAGUUACUAUAUUUUAUGCCUCUUUUCUUUCUAUUUUUGUACUCAAGGAGGUAUUUAAUAUGUCAUAGAAGGUCAAAGGCCUUUGCUUUAAUUUCCAAAUCAUCAAAUUGAAUGUGCUUAUGUAAUCUUAAUAUUGAUUUUAUUUAUUUAUUUAUUUUUAUUUAUUAGUAUUUGACUCUUCUCCAAUUCUCCCUUUCGACCCUUUUAAUCUUCUUUUGUUUCGAUUUUGAUAAUUACCAAGUUGAAAUUUGUAAUUAAUAAGUUGGAUUUUAUAUUUAAUUUAAUCUGUAAAUUUUGUAAAAUAUGCAGGGGAAGUUCAAAGUCGAGAGGGGUACACACAUAUUAAGCAUAUGUAUCUCAGUCGGAUUGUAGAUUUUGUAUGUAAAUAGUAUGUAUCUUAGUUCGAUUGUAGAUUUUGUGUGAUUUUUAACAGGACUAUCAAAUCUUUUUCAUGUAAAUUGCAUGUAAUACACAUCAAGUAGUACUAGAUACAAAGUUUUUGUAUGAUUUUCAAUCCCACAACACCGCGCGGGGCAUUCCUUGCAAGUUUAUACUAGAAGUGGGUGUGCAAUACCAACAAUAAUAAAUUUUGGGGAUUAAUAAAAGAAAUAAACCCUCCUUAUUUUAUGAAAAAUGCUAGAGAGACUAUAAUUUGUAAAUCAUUUUGGAACCAUUUCUCUAAUGCUUUUAUUAGAUAUAUGGUUUAAAUGUCGUUUACAAAAUAUGGUCCCUCUAUCAUCACCUAAUAUUUAAACAAUAUUCCGACAUUGCCUCUUGUUUUCUCUAUUUUAUGGGCUGUACUAACCUGCAUUUUCAUGCCAUCUUCUGCAACCCAUAGGAAGUCUGGAACCCGAGCAAGAUGCUUUUUGAAAGAAUCACCAUCGGGGUCUUCAACCCAACAAGCAAGCAUGCAUAGUGUCUUUGCAUUUCAAGCCGUAUAAAUAUUUUAGAAGAGAAUCAGAAAAACAAAUAGUGGCAUAGUGCCUUUCCAUUUCAAGUCGUAUUAAUUAUCCUUACUAUUUUAUUUUUAUCACAAAUAAUACAUGAAAUUAGUCUAACCCUAACAAAAUGGUUUCUAAAAUAAAACUCGAUCAAUGUCGUCCUUAAAUAUGAAUGCUGCAAAUCAAUACCAUUCUUCCUCCUUUUUACCAUCAACUAUUUUGUUAGCAUGACGACAUAGCAUAUGAGUGGGACCAAUAUGGCCACGCGAAACCUUCUUAAAAUCAUGAUUUAAAAACUUAAAAGAAAUCUAAAGAUAUAAAAAUAAUUAUAAGUGCAAUUUGAAUAUCUAAACUACUUAUUAAUAGAAUCCUCUUUGUCAAUCAAAGAGAAUGAAAAUAUUAUUUAGUCUUCUAUCACAAAAAAAUGAUAAGCAAUAAUUUAAUUUUUAAAUUUUACUGUUUUUAAUUUAACUCACACCUAAAAGUGAUGUUAAGAUAUAUCUAAUUAAAAAAAUAAAAAUAAAAACCUCCCAGGCCACCCAUUCUCUCUCUCCCCCUCUCUCCCCCUCUUCUUCCCUUUUUUUUUUUUUAAAAAAAAAAAAAAGUGUUCUUACACACAAAGUGUGUAGACACAAAUACAAGUUAAAUAUAAAGAAAAAUGUUUGGAAAAAAAAAGGGAAAAAAGUGUAGCAGAACCUCAACUACCAAAAUCAUCCCCUUCCAUUCUUUUUCUUCUUAUUCCAUAUCGACCACUACCCGGUAUUGGUGUGUCCCGCCGUCCUCCACUUCUUUCGUCCGAAGAUAAAACUCAUGGCUAACAGACCCGCGACGAACCGACGAACCCGUGUACUUUCAGGCCUUUCUCGCCUUCUCCAGACGCUAUGCACGCAACAACUUCUCCUGUCUAAAUUCAACCCACGAUAACCUUCUCUAGCGGGGAUUCAAAGGGAAAUUUUCAAACAGCUAUGAGAUUUUAUGCUUUUCCACUGUUAUCAUCGAAAAAAAAUUCCUUUGAUAAGGGUACUGGACCCAAUACAUGAAUUUUUCACAAAUCAUGAGUAGAUUAAAAAAAAUAUUUUUUAACUGCUUUUUUUCUUUUUUAUUUAUUGUUACUAUAGAAUUUUAAUUAGUUUGGUAAAUUCUUUCAUUUUUAUUUUUAAUCCAUUUGACCCUAUUUAAUUAAAAAUGUCCGGUGAUAUGUGUGCCAUGUGAGCACACUAGUAAAAUAUUUGGCGAAAAUGAAUGGAAUGAUGAUAUUGAUUUGGAGCACUUAUAUUUAAAGACUACAUUUAUCAAUUUUCAUUUUUAAUGACCAUCUUAAUGAGGUUGAUCAAUUUCAGAUACUAUUUAUGAUAUAAACACCAUUAUUAAUUACCUUUUCUACACUUCCAAUGGUAAUAUACCGACUGCUCUCAUCUUCAUAAUGUAUGUGUUUGAUUGCUUCUUGAAGAGCUUUCUCUCUCAACUUGGUAAAGGGCCAAACGUUAAGAAGAGGCUCAGUAAUCAUGUACAUGGAAUCCCACACCAAAUCUUGCAUCCAUGGAUGGGGAAAGUAUAUGUCCACCUGCAUGCAUGUAUUAUACAAAAUUUUCAAUCUCGUAAUCCCACAUGAUAUGUACAUCCUUAGUGUGAAAGACAUUAAAACUAAUAUGAUAAGUAAAUGAGAUACAUCUAGCAUUACUCUACUAUGAAAUAAAUCAUGUAUUCUAAUAUAUAUAUAUAUAUAUAUAUAGUAUAUGUCCACCUGCAUGCAUGUAUUACACAAAAUUUUCAAUCUCGUAAUCCCACAUGAUAUGUACAUCCUUAGUGUGAAAGACAUUAAAACUAAUAUGAUAAGUAAAUGAGAUACAUCUAGCAUUACUCUACUAUGAAAUAAAUCAUGUAUUCUAAUAUAUAUAUAUAUAUAUAUUGUUGUGAAUAGAAUAACUAUUUAGAAAUAUGAUUGUGUAAACUUAACACAUAAUCCUAAUACGAUUUGAAGACUAAAUCCUCAUAGGUUUGUAUCACUUGUAAGGCAAGAAAAUCCAUCAUGAUUAGUAUAAAUAAAGGUAUAAGGCCAAGAGGCGAGGGCAUAAUUCUCAUACACUUAAGCCCUUCUCUCUAACCCACUUUUUAAAUUAGUUUCACAUCACGCCAUCAACACAACAUGUCUCUGCAAGAAGGAGAGGAUCUUGAAGAAAACCCCGCGAAAGCUUUUUCACCAUUUCAUCAACAUCCAAGUAAUCAUAAACCCUAAUCUAUUUGAUAUCAAUUUAAUUUAGGUCAUGAUUACUAAGAUUACUAUUCUGAGUUAUAUGCAAGUUAUAUGUUGAUGAAUAUGUGUAGGUAUAUCAAGAAAGAAAGAAAAACGAAGGACGCCAAAACCCUAAAUUGCAGAAGUUGGGGCUAGAGUCGCGCUAGUCCUAGCCCAGGUCCAGACGACAUGUCGUUUGGCAUGUCUUCUUCUUCCCAAUCUGUCGCCGCCUCCCUGCUUUGUGCAAUCGUAAGGGCUGCGAUCCCAAGACACAUCCGACGAUUUUUGUUGUCGAUGAAUACAUGUUGAGUGAAUAUUCAUUCUAAUCUCGAGCCCAAAGUUGCGAGCGUGCCAUUUAAAAACUUGGGGUUUUUUUCCUAGAAGCACACACACCAACCAUGUUGAGAGUUGUUGAGUUUUGGUUUCAAUAUUUGUUGUAUAUUUCAUUAUGAAUGUUACAAGAGAGUGAAUGCAACUCUUAUAGAGAGCCAAAAGAAAGCUACAAUAGAUUGUAGGAUAACUACACAAACACAAUCUCUAAAAUCUGCCCUCACAAGUGGAAAAGCAAAAACCAAAUUACAAGUAAAGAAGCUUUUACAAGCAACUAAGAAAUGUUGAUGUAAGGUGAAUGACAAGCUAUGGAAAGGUUGAUGUAAGAUGAAUGACAAGCUAUGGAAAGUGAGGUUGAUGUAAGGUGAAGGACAAGCUAUGGAAAGGUUGAUGUAAGGUGAAUGACAAGCUAUGGAAAGUGAGGUUGAUAUGGAAAGUGAGGUUGAUGUAAGAUGAAUGACAAGCUAUGGAAAGGUUGAUGUAAGGUGAAUGAUAAGCUAUGAAAAGUGACUUUAGCCUAUGACUUAGCUAAAGUGAGGAUGACAACUUAUACUUACAACCCAUCCAUACAAACCAGUUUCAAUACACCCCCUCAAGCUGGAUCAAGGGGAUUAAUUGAUCCAAGCUUGCACAACAAAUGUUGAAACUGAGUAGAGUCUAGUGCUUUUGUGAAUAAAUCAGCAAGUUGAUCGUGGCUUUGGAUUGAACUUGAGCACGAAUAUAAUGGCAGUCAACUUCAAUAUGUUUGGUCCUUUCAUGGAAUACUGGAUUUGAGGCAAUGUGCAUGGUAGCUUGGUUAUCACAAUACAAGGACGUAGGUGUCAUGCUUGUGAAUCCAAGCUCGGAAAGAAGACCUUUCAACCAUAUGAGUUCACAGGCUGUUGCUGUCAUAGCCCUAUACUCAGCUUUGGCACUAGAUCAAGCAAUAACAGUUUGUUUCUUGUUCUUCCAAGUGACAAGGUUCCCUCCAACAAAUGUGCAAAAACCUGUUGUGGAUUUUCGAUCAAGGGCAUUUCCAGCUCAGUCAGCAUCUGUGUAGGCCAAGAUGUGAUUUGAUCCAUUGUUCUUCAUAAUUAUCCCCAUUCCUACUGAGCCUUUGAGAUAUCGAAGUAUUCUCUUGACGAUUUCCCAGUGAAUUAGAGUAGGAAAGUGCAUGAACUGACUGGCUAUACUAACUGAAUAGGAGAUAUCAGGCCUAGUAAUGGUGAGAUAAAUAAGUUUCCCAACCAUUCACUGAUAAACACUAGGGUCCGAGAGAGGUUCACAUUUUUCAUGCCACUGAAGUUUGCUAGCUAGGGGUGUUCGAGCUGGUUUACAUUCCAUUAUGUUAGCUUCAUCUAGAAGAUCAAGAACAUACUUUCUUUGAUUCAAGAACAAUCCAUUUGAAAAGGUAGCUGCCUCAAUUCCAAGAAAGUAUUUCAAGAGCCCUAAGUCUUUAAUGGCAAAUGUUUGGUGAAGUGACUGCUUAAGCGUAUUGAUUUCACUUAUAUUGUCACCUGUAAUAAUUAGGUCGUCAACAUAUAUAAGUACUACCAAUUUGCCAGCAAUAUUACUUCGAACAAACAAAGAAGAGUCAGCAUGACUCAUUUUGAACCCUGCAGCUUCAAGGACUGAACUAAGCUUCGAAUACCAAGCUCAAGGGGACUAUUUGAGACCAUAUAUGGCUUUGUGAAGUCUGCAGACCUUGUUGGGUUCAUUUUCUCUUGAAUGACCAGGAGGCAACUUCAUGUACACUUCUUCUUCAAGAUCCCCAUGAAGAAAUGCAUUCUUCACAUCCAUUUGGAAUAAGGGCUAUGCAUUAUUGACUGCCACAUACAACAAUAUCCUCACUGUGUUCAUUUUGGCAAUAGGAGCAAAUGUCUCCUUAUAGUCAAAGCCAUAAGCUUGAGUAAAGCCUUGAGCUACUAAUCGUGCCUUGUGUCUUUCAAUGCUUCCAUUGGAGUUGAAUUUGGUCUUAUAUAUCCACAUAUUUCCCACGACCUUCUUGCCAUUCAGAGCUUGAAGCUCUUUAGUCAUAGCAUCUUGCCACUCAGGCAUGCAUGUGGCUUCAUGAAAAUUCCUUGGUUCGAAAGUGUGAGACACUUUGUUAAGGAAAGAAGUAUGAGAAGAUGAGAAUCUGUGAUAAGAAAUGGCUGCAGAGAUAGGAUGCCUUGCAAUGUAAGUAACAUACUCUUGUAACCUCACUGGUGGAUGUCUAUCUCAUGUAGGAUUUCUUCUUGGUGCACUUAUAACUUGCUGAUUUUGUUGAGCUUCUGAUGGUUCAGAUGAGCUUGGCACUGCAUCAGUUACACUCUCAGUGAGUUGAGAAUUAUCAGUGCUGAUAUGAGCAGGAGUGACUUCAUGAAUUUCUGCUGGAAUAGGUAGUGGAAAUAGGUCCAUAAGAUCUUCCAUAUUAGCAUUAGUCUCUAACCCUUUGUGGAAAUAAGGUGAAUAUUCAUCAAAUCGCACAUCUCUAGAGACUGCCAGCUUUCCCGUGUUAUGGUUGUACACUUUGUAACCCUUUUAAGAACUUACGUAUCCUAUAAACACACAUUUGACAGCUCGAUGGUCUAGUUUGUCACGAUGGAGAGCUUGAAUAUGCACAUAACAAGUACAACCAAAGGUCCUAAGGUGAGACAAGCUUAUAGGCUUGCCCUUUAUGACUUCAAAAGGAGAUUUAGUAUUCAACACCCGAGUUGGCAGUCUAUUAAUGAUGUAUGUGGCAGUGAGUAAAGCUUGAGACCAAAAUUUCUUAGGAACAUUCAUUUGGAUCAUAAGUGAUCGCGUCUUCUCCAAUAAGUCUCGAUUCUUUCUCUUUGCCACACCAUUUUGUUGUGGUGUACCAACACAGCUAGUUUGAUGCAAAAUGCCAUGAUUGCUCAAGUAAUUACUCAUGUUAUUGGAAGUGUACUCGGUACCAUUAUCUGAUCUUAACAUAUAUAACUUAGAUGAAAAUUGAUUGGUGAUUAGGUUGUGAAAGUCCUUAAAAGCAUCAAACAAAUCACUUUUAAGUUUUAAAAGAUACAACCAGGUUACUCUAGAAUAAUGUAGCAUAAUAUUUAUACCCAUCAAAGGAUUCUACAUGAGAAGGACCCAAAAUAUCAGAGUGAACAAGCUCAAAAAGUUUACUAGUUCUAGAAUUAGAGGAAACAAAAGGAAGUCUAGUGGCUUUUGACAUUUGACAAGUUUCACACUCCAAUGUGUUUUUACAAAAAAAGGGAAACAACUUAGUCAUCACAUGUUCUAAGGGAUGGACAAGGCGUUGAUGCCAGAGUUGGUGUUCCUAAACUUGACUUAAGUUAACACUGAGUUUUUUAAAAAAAUUGGACUCCUUUGAGAGAUAGUAGAGUCCAUUCAAGAAGAACCCUUCACUAAUCUUCUUCUGAGUAACUCGGUCUUGAAACACAACAUUGUGAGGGGAAAAUAUGGCAAGACAGUCUAAGGUUUUUGUGAUUUUUCCUAUUGACAAGAGCUGAAAAGGAAAAGAAGGUACAUAGAGAGCAAUGAAAUCAGUAUGCUCACUUAACAAUCUAAUAUUUCCUUUCCCUAGAAUAGGUUCCCCUUUCCCAUUUGCAACAGAUACAUGAAUUGGAUCAAUAGUUCUUUGAAAAUCGUGGAGACUAGAGGGUUUAUUAGUUAUAUGAUCAGUGGCACCAGAGUCAAUAAUCUAAAAAUCAUGUGUAACAUUUGCAUUAAGAGCAUGGAAAUGGCACUGAUAAUACAUGGAGUCUUGCCUUUCAAUGUGUUCUCCGAGUCAGCUAUGAAUCCAGCAAAUUUCCCUAGCAUUGCAGUAGGGUUUUCAGGUGUCAUUUCAUCAGGUUCAGUGCUUCCUUGCUUCUUUUGAAGAAAAGCAGCAAACUCGUUGAUCAAAGGCACAAGAUUUGUUGAGAAAUUGGCCAUCCCAUCAGUUGAGGAACAAGCUGAAUGAAAUGCUUUUGUAGUGACUCCACCUUUCCUAUCUUUGAUCAUCAUGCCUUCUUUAUCAAACUUAUGCUUUAACUCCGGAUGAAGAAUCGAACAUUUUUCACUCAAAUCUCCCUUCAUGUUGCAAUAAGAACAUUUCCAGUCUGCUUUCUUGCCAAGCACCCUAUCACCAGUUGCUUUAUGAUUUGUUAUGAAAACCCUAGCUUCAGAGUUGGAUUUGGGCUCAACGUUCAUCAUUCUUUGUCGAGUUUCUUCUCUCUGGACUGCAUGACACACAGUGGUAAAGGAUGGCAGCUCUUGAGUCAUUAACAAGUGACUACGCAGGUCUUCAUACUCCGCUCCCAAGCUUGCUAAGAGUUGAAAAACCUUGUCUUCAUCAGCCCUCUUCAGUAGCACAACGAAAUCAGUCGUGUGUGGACGAUACAUAUCGAGUUCAUUCCACAUGGAUUUCAUACUUCCAAGGUGUUGAACAAAUGAGUGAUCACCUUGCUUUAAACUAGCCAUACUCUUCAAUUGAAAGAUGCGAACUGAGUUGAUUUGGCUGCUAUACAUGCCUUUGACAGACUCCCAUAGGAGAAGGGAAGACUCUGAGUAGCUGAAAAGCUCAGACAGUUUUGGCUCCAUGGAGUUAAGUAACUAGGACAUGACCAGCUGAUCAGUAGUAUGCCAUGCAUCGUAAGUUGGUGAAGUGGAUUCUGAGGGCUCAAAGCUUCCAUUGAUAAACCCUAGCUUCGAUCUUCCUCCUAGAGCAAGUGACACAGCUCUUGACCAAGGAAGGUAGUUGAACUCGUUCAGUAGCACCGAGCAGAGUCGUUGAUUUCGAUUGUUCUCAACCUCUUGGGUUAAGUUUGGGGAGGAGGAUGAGACAUUGUCGGCACUAGACACGUUUUCUUCUGCCAUAUCUAUCGAUGAUGAGCAAAUGAAAAAGUAAAAAAAAAAAAAAAAAAAAACAGAGUCAGGACCCUAUGGUUCCUGCUCUGAUACCAUGUUGAGUUUUGGUUUCAAUAUUUGUUGUAUAUUUCAUUAUGAAUGUUACAAGAGAGUGAAGGCAACUCUUAUAGAGAGCCAAAAGAAAGCUACAAUAGAUUUUAGGAUAACUACAUAAACACAAUCCCUAAAAUCUGCCAUCACAAGUGGAAAAGCAAAAACCAAAUUACAAGUAAAGAAGCUUUUACAAGCAACUAAAAAACGGUUGAUGUAAGGUGAAUGACAAGCUACGGAAAGUGAGGUUGAUGUAAGGUGAAUGACAAGCUAUGGAAAGGUUUAUGUAAGGUGAAUGAUAAGUUAUGGAAAGUGACUUUAGCCUAUGACUUAGCUAAAGUGAGGAUGACAACUCAUACAUACAAUCCAUCCAUACAAACCGGUUUCAAUAAGAAUUUUUGACCUUUAUGAUGUAAAUCCGUUAAACCAAACUUUGUCUCUAGAAUCUAUGGUUCUAGCUAUAAUGCCUAUGAAUUUUAUUCAAGGCACUAGUUCACAUUUUGGUUAUUUACACAAUGUCGAACAUCGCUAAGCUCGAUUUCACCGCUUUGGAGAUAUUUGGAAGAAACUAUCUCAGCUAGAUUCAAGACAUGAAGUUCCACCUCAUUGCAAAGUGUAUUAGAGCAACCAUCGAGGCUGAGAAACAAACAAGUGAAGUUGAGAAGGCAAUCAUUAUGAUCUUUAUCUACUGCCACAUGUAUGAUGCAUUACAAACUGAAUAUAUGUCGAAGGAAGAUCCUCAAACUCUCUAGCCAACAUUAGCCAAUCGAUUUGGUCACUAGAAGUUGAUUAGUUUGCUUGAAGCUAGGCAUGAUUGGAUUAAUUUGAAACACCAAGACUAGAAGACUGUGAACGAAUAUAACUUCGAAGAUAGAGCAUUGUUCAAAUGGUAUAUUGGUUCACCAAUCGAACUACAUCCAAAAGGUGUGCCACUUAAUGGAAAAAGCAAAACCUUCAACUACUCUUAUGGUUGCUCAAACUCUAGAUGCAAAGCAAUAUCAAUUUCUUCCUAAAUAUGAUGAAGAAGAGGCCUUGGAACCUGAAAUUCCUUACCUAAGUGCAACUAGAGCUUUAUUGUAUUUAGCUCUAUACAUUAGACUGCACAUCUUCUUUGUUGUGAAUCUUUUGGCAAACUACAAUAAUGGCCUACACGCAGACACUAGACAAGUUUUAAAGACAUCAUGCACCUUAAGGGUGCAAUGGAUAUGAGCUUAUUCUAUCCCUACACAUCGCCAAGCGGAUCUAACUCCCUGAUCCUCAGAAUGAAGUCCGCCUUGUUGGUUAUGCAACACUGGUUAUUUAUCUGACCCGGACAAGGUUCAUUCUCAAAUAGGUUAUAUCUUUACUGUUAGAAAUACAACAAUAUCUUGGAGAUCAACCAAACAAUAGUUGUUAGAGCUGUUAUGUUUUUAUUUAAAUAUUUUAAAUAUAUUUAUGAUUUGUUUUAUUACAAACAUUGAAUAUAAAACGUAAAUUGUUAUUAACCUUAUAAAUUGUCAUUAACUUUAUUAUCAGUUCAGGAUCAUUAAUUCACUAGAAAUGUGAGAAAGCUUCUCACUUUAAAGAUGAGAUUCUUUCUUUGAAUAGAAAAAAAGAUCAAAUCUAUUUUUACAUAAUUUUUUAUUCCGUUGUGAUUUGGACGUUUUGAUUUAGUCCGUUUUGUUUUCUUCUGCAUUGAUUACUUGCAGCUUUCUUUCCUUUAAAUCAUUUACAUCCCCCAACGUCUCUUUUAUUAUAUAUAUAUAUAUAUAUAUAUAUAUAUAUAUAUAUAUAUAUAUAUAUAUAUAUAUAAGUCCGAAGGAUAAAAAAUAUAUAUAUAUAAUAAGAAAAAAAGACAAGUUUUACAAAUAUUGAGUUAAUAGCAACAUAUCGAAAAGGUGUGAGUUAGAAGGUUUUUCCGUUGUGCAAGGAAGAACCUUAUCAGAAGAAGGUUAUGGGCUGUUUUAUCCUGGGGACGACGUGAUAUUUGUGAAUUGCUUGCACACUUUUGGCAGAGCUGCGAAAUGUCUUCAAGAGAGCGAAUUAGUUCGCAACUCAUCCCAAGAAUCAUUCACCACUCAAAGCUUCUACAUUUUUCGGGUAACUUCGUUCCUUUCUAUUUCAGAUUCAACAAUUUUAAGACGUUUCAAUCUCCCAUGAAAUUGUGUUGACUGUAUGUUAUGUGUUAAAUAGAAUUCCUAACUCAAAAUCGAAUAUCUCUCCUUAUGAAAAUUGAAAAAUAAGAAACCAAAUGUGUUGUAUUUCAGAACUUGGGGUUGUUUAGCUUAUGUUCGUAAACCUGAUCCAAAAAGAUCGAAAUUGGCUAGUAGAGCAUAUGAAUGUGUUUUUAUUGGUUAUGCAUGUAAUAGCAAAGCAUAUAGAUUUUUUUAUUUGAAAAACCAUGUCAUAAUUGAGUCACUUGAUGCUAAUUUUUAUGAGAUUAAAUUUCCUUUUAAUCUUUGAAAUAGUGGGGGUUCUAAUUCUUCUAAAAUUUAUGAACCUACUGUCAGAUACCCCUUUAUGGGAGAAGAAGCAAGAUGAUUGAGAAACCUAUUGUCAUAUACCCCUUUAUGGGAGAAAAAGAUUCCAGUCAUACACGGUCUGAAGAAAAUUUAGUUGAUCCUUUGACGAAAGGACUAACAUGAGAAAAAGUUUCGAAAAAUCCUUUGAUGAAAGGACUAACAUGAGAAAAGGUUUGGAAAACCUUGAAAGGGAUGGGACUAAAGCUCGUAGAAAAUUGAGUCAUUUGUGAUAGCAACCUAACCUAUAGACUGGAGAUCCCAAGAAAAAGGUUCAAAGGGUAAUAACAAGUCGCAAGUGAUAUGAGUGAAGUCUUGCUAAUUUUAAAUUGGAAAUUAUUUCAUGUCCCUCCCUAAGAAGCAUGGCAUCCUGAAGCGUUUUUAGGUUGAGAUUUUUUCUCUUAGUAAGGUCUAUACUUUAUGUUGAGUGGGAUAUCUACUGGACUACCGUAGCAAGAUAUUUGUGAGAUUUUUUUAUUUUUUUUUUGAUAUGCACAUCUACUAUGAGACUCGUGUUAACAAUUACUGUACCUGUCGAGAACUGACGAAAAAAACCACCAUCUCCUAAUCAUUAUGUGAUUACUUCUUAAGUUGUACACACUUAAGGAAGAGUGUUUGUGAAUAGAAUUAUUAAUUAGAUACUUGAUUGUGUAAACUUAGAAUAGAAUCUUAAAAGGAUUUGAAGACCAAAUCCUCAUAGAUUUGUAUCACUUGCAAGGCAAGAAAAUCAUUAGUGUAAAUAAAGAUAAAAGGCCAAAGAGUGAAGACACAAUUCUCAUAUGCCUAAGCUCUUCUCUCUCUGCCGUCUCAUCUCUCUCACCCAUUUUUAUAAUUAGUUUCACAAUGUAUAUAUAUAAAAGGGAAAUAAACGAAUAAUUAGCUGACCUGUGCACAUAAAUGGCGAACUUUGCCCCAUUUGAUUUUGUUGUGAGGCUGAAUGUAGAGUUCUUCCCUCAACUGUAAUAUGAGUGGGGUUAUUCGGCCGACGAACUUUUUUCCAUACAGAUACGACAUGGGCAUAUACGUAUUGCGGCAGUAGCACAUCAUGUUGGCUGCAACAUAUACAACACAUAUAUUACAUGGUGAAGAAAUAAUUGGGUUAGUGUUCGCUGCAACUUAUAUACAACACAUAUAUUACAUGGUGCAAAAAAAUUGGGUUAAUAUAUAAAGCCACAACAGAACUUGUUAAUAGUUCAAACACACCAUUUUGGAGUGCAUGCUAACAAAUUCGGAGUGUGAAAAGAAAAUUAAUACUUGGUAGAAGUAAUGAGCUUUCGUGAUCACUACAUGCUGUAAUCAUUUGAGGUUGUUAGAAUAAUUUUGAUUACUGAGUUCUUUACGAUCGUGAUUCUAAAAGAUAUUAAACGCUAGUCGGAUGGCUAGUUAGAGUUUAAUGCCUAGGUGGCCAAGCGGGAACCUAAAAUUAUUAUAAAACAUGAAUAUUAUUUAAAGUUAUUGAGUUCUUUUUAACUAAAAUUAUUAUUGGCCAUCUAUUCUGUAAAAAAAAAAACCUUGGGCCUGAUUUAAAAUAUAAAUAAUAUAAAUAUAUAUAUAUAUAUAUAUAUAGAAAAUGGUGGAGUGAGUGAAGGUGACGGCUAAUGUUGUAUAAAAUGACACUUGAUUUAAAAAACCCUAACCACAACAUUAGCCGUCACCUUCACCCACCUCACCAUUUUCUAUAUAAUAUAUAUAUAUAUAUAUAUAUAUAUAUCAAAUGACACUUGAUUUAAAGAACCCUAACCACAACAUUAGCCUUCACCUUCACCCACCCCACCAUUUUCUAUAUAUAUAUAUAUAUAUAUAUAUAUAUAUAUAUAUAUAUAUAUAUAUAUAUCAAAUGACACUUGAUUUAAAAAAUCCUAACCACAACAUUAGCCAUCACCUUCACCCACUCCACCAUUUUCUCUCAAAACGGCGAGGCGAUCUCUUUUCUCACUUUCUGCAACUUAUCCCAUUCUCCACUCUCACUCUCUGAUGAACCCACCGUCACUCCCUUCCUCCUCUUUUCAGCCAAGUGAGGUCUGUGCAGAACCCAGAACCCAUCUUCUGCAGAACCAAUCUGUCAAAAGUUGCAAAGACGAGUUGCAGAUGGUGAACGGCCGGUGAUGAGAUUCCUGCCGAUGGUGAAUCGGAAAUUGUAGAACCGCCUAGACCGCCGCCUAGGCGGCUGCCUAUUUCCUCCCCCUUUUGUGAACGCCCUGACCAAAAUCACAGUGGAGCUCUGCCGCUUAGGACGAUUUUUAGAACACUGCUUAUUAUUACUAAAAAUGCUAAAUGUUUUAAGACCAUAUUCUGUAAUCAUAUGAUGUAACGGUUGGUUGAUGAUUGAAUUUUUUUUUAAUGGUUUAAACAAGGUGAUUUGAGAUUUUAUCUUCUUACGGAUUCAAUAUUCUAUUCAAUUAUUUAUUUUAAUCUAUUAAAUAAAAAUAAAAUAAUUCAUAAUCAUCCAAUUAAAGUCAAUCGAAACCAACCCAUAUGAAUCUAAUUAUCAACUGUGACAUAUAGUUUAAUUAUCAACUGUGACAUAUAGUUCAAGUAGAUGACCUAUCUGGCCUAGUAUUAUCCUUGCUAAAAAAUAGAUAUGUGAAUCAUUUCACCUUUUAACCUUCUUUUAUAUUUAAGGAAACUAAUGAAAAAGGUUUGAAAAAUUUGAGUUUUAAUGAUAAGGACAAAAUAAAGGGUAAAGUGAAUAGUACCAGGAUUAACUUUUUAGUGUAAAAAUGUGGUUUUUUGUUAAAGUGAAUAGUACCGGGAGCAUUUCGUUAAAGUUCCCUUUAUAUUUACUAACACAUAUGGAACUGAAAAAGUGUGAGUUAACUCUUGAAAUAUAUAAUCAAAUACCUAAAAUUCAACAAUGAGAUCAAACUAGGGAGGAACUGCUUUAUCUAAUACCCUUUCCUUGCUUUUCUUUUUUCCAAGUUUUCUAAUUCGUUUUUCCCUCCCACUUUUGUUAAGUAAACAUCUUUUUGUUUGGGUUAUUAUUGCACUUCUAAUGUCUACGUAGCUUUGUUGACCUUUGUCCAUAGGAAAUGAAAGCAUAUAACCAUUUGAUAAUAAAUUAUUCAAAGCGGAAAGUUAUUAAGCUAAGGGACUAAGCAAUUUAAGUUAAUUAUUAAUCAAUCUUUAAAGCUUCUUCAUCGCAUCUUCAGAAAGACAAAUUUCUAGAUCCAUCACCAUAUGAGUUCAUUAUAUAUAAGUUCAUUAAUAAAGCAGUCCAAGUUGAAAGACCAACAACAAUGUUUUUCAGGAAAAUGUUGCACUUUUAGUUGAACAUGAAGGAAUACUCUUCAUCCCAGCUUGCGCAACAGAGAGAGAGACGGCAACCUUAUUAAACAAUUGUCCAUAUGUACCUGGAUGUAUGGGAAGAAUAGAAGGAAGUAUCCAAUACUCGGGAGGCAUUGGGUUGCAUCCGGACCAGUCAAACACUCCAAGUAUCUGCAUCAAAAGAAAUUGGAUCAGUUCAUAAGUCCAUGCGCACGCAUAGACACAUACAUGCAUGUGUGUUACGUAUCAUAUAAUACUUUACGUAUGUAUAUAUGAUAUACAUAGAAGAAUGCUCUCUUGGCAGAAAAUACUUACAUUAUGUAUAAAUGUCGAACUCUUAAUUUGGACCACACUUUCAAAUAAGAAUACAUUUGAUUAAUGAUAUUGACAUUCAUAGUUAGUUUGAUUACAAUCUACAAUAUUUGGUAUGUUGUCGUUUGGCCACAAAUUUUCACAAAAAAAUUGGAGAUAUUUUGUGUGCUAAAUUCUAGACACAACCACAACAAAACCCAAAUCCACUCUGAACUAUGUGGUUUGACCCCCCCCCCCCCCCAAAAAAAAGAAAAAGAAAAAGAAACUCCAAAUCCACCAAAUUCAACCCAAACAUAAUCCCUGACUCGCUCGUGACCAAAUUGAACCGAAACAGAAUCCCUAGCUCACCAAAUUUGGUCAAACACCACAAGCACCAUAACCAAAUGGCCAGCAUCAACAUACAAUUGAACUACGAGUUGACUUGAUUCAAAUCAAAAGAGAUACGUAGGCAACUUGGGAUUUAUUCCAAGUGCAGCUACAAAACAAACACAACCACCAUUCACCUCAAAUGGCGGUGGAAUUUCCGUCAACAACUACAGUUAAAAAGAACUGAGAAUAAUGUAUAAACACUAUAGAUUAGUAUGAGAUACUAAACUUUCUUUUCGAAUAAAUUACUGUAUAACUUGUGUACUUGAAAAAGGCCACACUACCGAAAGCCAAAUCUUUCCCCAAGAAAGUAUAUUGGUUACACCGCCAUGGUCAAGAAUCCACUUUCUUCCUCUAGCCAUGCCGUUGUCUUCACCUGCAUCUGGUCCUUCUCCAAGCAAACGCAAACACACAUAGUUGAAAGCCGUACCGAACAUGCUGCUAUGGCAACCCACGGCUAAUCCCCAUCCACCAUCUUUGUUCUACACACAUAUAUAAAAACUCGUUAUUCAAGUAGCAUACAGAUCUUGGACUAGCUGAUCAUUAAUGACAGAAAAAAAAAGGAGAAAAUUUCAAACAAUAUAAUAAGUAUAUGUGUGUAUAUAUGAACCUGAUGAUUGUAUAUGCAACGCUUAACUUCUUUUCGAUGUUCUGCAGAUAAUACAACAUUAAGAUGUCCAGUGAUGUACAGACACAUGACCUGUAAGAAGAAAGAAAAAUUGUAGUAUUUAGAAAUAUUGCAUAAUGAUCCACUAAUGAGAGCUCAAGUUUAUGAAAAAGAAAAGAAUUGAUAAUGAGGAUAUAUAUGUGUGUGUGUGUGUGUGUGUGUGUGUGUGUAUUUGUGGUGAAUUUGAAUUACCAGAGUAGGUGUGUAAAACAAUGGGCCAGAAAAUUCAGCAGGCCAAUGUCCGUGGCUUGAUUGCAAGGCUGCAGUGAAACGGACAGCCCUCUUCAAUGCUGCUGUCGCAGUUUCAUGUGUGAUUUCCUCACCUUCCUGGAUCUUCAAUGGAGGAAUCGUUUGCUUGAAAUUUUUCUCUCUUAAACACUGCAUUAGUUAGUUGUAAGAAAAUGCCUUUAAAAUUAGCAAGAAUAAGGGUUGUGACUCAUGGUAGCUGGAGGCUGUGAGGGUUGGAGCUUAUUUAAUUAUCAUGCUCCUAAAUAGUGACAAAUAUUCAGGCUCCGCCACUGAUGUUUCUUUUAUCUUUUACUUGGCUAGCUAGAAUUAUCAUGAUAAGUCUAAUAUUUGAGCCAAAUUAUGCACCUGCAUUCUCCACAGUAAGUCACUGCUAGGUUUGACCUGGAAUCGGUUUUGGUGGUAAUUUUGACGAGCCUCUUCAAUCUCAGCACGCUCUUGAGGAGUACCUGCAUGGGGGUCAAACUCCCAUGUCUGCCUCCCCGUGAAGUUGUUUGUGCUGAACAAAAAUGGAUCAUUUUCACCCUCCCCAAUUUUCAGCCUCCACAUUUUCUUCCUUUGUUCUCCAAUGCAUGCAAACAAACAACUAUAUACACAUACAAUCUCUACAACAAAAGAGAGGGCAGAAGUCACUGUCUUUUUCAAACGCAACCAAUUGCAGUCAAUGAAACUUAUUAUGCACGACAUGAUAAAAUGAUUUAGAUAGCCUUGUCGUACUAGUACUAGCAUACGACAGAGCCUCAGGAUACUUAUGCACAUCAUUUUUCACUUUUUGAACAAGAAUGACUUACGAAAGAGACUUGGCUGCUGAAAAAUCAGCACAAGUCAGUGAUUCGCUCUCAACAGGAAGGGCUGCUGAUUCUUUGACUUAGAUGGAAUGAGUUCACCCCCACCACAAUGUUACAAUUCAAUUUCGUUUCACGUGUCAUCGUUAGAAAAUGGCAUAUAAAAAAUAAUAAGUGGGAGAUUCACUGUUAAUAUUCUUGUAGUGCUUACUCUUUUAAGGAUUCUUUCAACAUUGUUGUGGAGCCAAAAAUAAUCAAGAGACAACAUGUGGAUUGUAGGGUGAAAGGACAAAAUUACCCUCAAUGACCACCGGAAUUCCUACGCGCGAGCAGUGGACAAUCAUCCCACAAUCAAGUCAAAUGUGGCCAAAAUAGGUAUUUAUUCAAAAUCUAUUUCAUCCAUCCUCAUCAAAUCUUCUCCACAAGGUAACCCCCAAAGCAUUCAUUUCAAAUCAUAUUAAUUAGCUAAUUAAUUGAUUUAUUACCUAAUUAAUCUAUUGAUUGGCUAAUUAACUACCAAUUUCACCCAAAAAUGCCACAAAGAGCCGGUUACCAUCUCUCCAAAGGGGGCCGGCCAUGCCCUAUAUAUAAUAUCCCAUUUUCUCUAAAAACCUAAGUUCUACAUUUUUGUUAAAUUCUCCAAAUUCUCCAUACACUUUUCCCUCAAAAUUCUAACUUUGACAUCGGAGGUUCUUCAACCAAAGCCCUCCCCCCCCAAAAAAAAUUCAUUGUGGGUGCGUGAGGCUAUUGGCCUUAACCUAAGGUGUUGUUUUUUUUGUAGGUGCAAUUUUGUCCAAGAACAAGGAGGAAGAAAUUUGCAUCCACAAAUUGGUGUUUCAUUGAGAGUUGAGUCACACACUCAUAGAAGACUUUCGCAUCUAAGGUUUUUUGUUUCUUUGCUUAUUUGUAGAUUUUUCGUAUGUUCUUAUUCUUGGAAUUUUUAUUUCUAAAAAUUCUUUGAUAAAAUGUAAAAGAAAAGUACAAUGGCAAGAGAUUCAAAAACCUCGACAAACGGAAAUUUCAACGUUCAAGAAGGCUCAACAUAGUGGUGAGUGGAGCGACACCCCCACGAGACACUACCAUGGCAACCACCACGGCAGCCACACUUGGCAAAACCCACCGCUCCAAAGCCACGGCCUAAGCCGUGCCAUUUCAACCUUCAAGGGCCCAAGCCUUAGCCGAGCCGGCCCAUGUUGCCCAAAUCCAACAUGAGCCCAAUGCGUUGCCAAACCAAGCCCUAGCCUCACACCCACGUGCACCACACGCCGAGCAGCCCACUUUCGUGGCCUAGCUUGCUCUAGCGGCCCAGCCUGCUCCCGUGGCAUUCAAAGCAACCCAAAUCGGUCCAAGAUUAGGUCAACCGCCCCAACUUCAAAUUUUUGGGCCUACGGUUGAACCGCGGGCAUUUUCACUAUAUUUCUCUACGAAUUUGACAUUUCCCAACUCAAAUCUCGCUCACAAAGUCCACCACACUUCCACAUCUCAAUGAGACGUAUUCCUUUCAAGCUCUUUCAAUCCAUAUGGAGAACUACACUUGUCUCGACAAGUCAUAGAAUUGACGAGCGUCCUUGCACAACAGACAACCUUGGUGAAAGCUUUUGCAUCGCACCGAGAUGCAAUGUGCCCCAAACAAGGUGUCCCGAAGUAGGACAAGGGCAGAUGAAUAACAUCUCCAGCAGCGUCCUGGUAAGCAGCCACUCAACCAGCCAUGAACUGAACAUUCAGGCAGUGUACACUCCCAAUUAGGCCCCCGAGAUAGCAUAUACUCCCAUCUUAGCGUGUGGAUAAGCGUGCACUCUUGGUCAAGCCCACGGACGAGUAUAUACUCACAGUUAGGGUCACACUCUAAUAAUCAAAAUGAGCAACCUUCCAGGCAAAGUGUUCAUUCGCGACUAAGCCCGUAAUAAGUAUCAUCCACCUCACAUCAGAGUCAGCAGCACAACGAACGGAGAGAAGCAGUCACUCAAUCCAGCUUAAGUUUAACCAUUAGCCUGUGAAGAACUCGCUCGCCUGCUAGGAACACACCACAUGCACCGUAGCCACGGCAUAGAUGAGCCAAACAAAUGGAAGAGCAGCCUAGACCAGCAGGUCACGAUUGGGGGCAGCCGAGAGUUCCACUACCCCCAACAAAGGCGAAUUCAGGAAGAAGUAGAGAGGCUUCUGACCAAGCAAUUGCACGAUUUCCUAUGCAACGAGGUCAUUAACGAGACACUACGACAGGACAUGACCAACAUAAGCAGGUUACCCUUCACUGGCUAGAUUGAGCAGGUAGAAUUUUCAUGCAAGUUCAGCAUGCCACAUUUCACAUCCUUCAAAAUGGAUAGAAACCUGGAGAGACACCUAAAGCACUAUUGAAGCACAAUGAUCCUUUAUCGAAACAACGACGAUCUCAUGUGCAAGACAUUCGCUACCACUCUACAAGGUAAGGCGCAAGAUUGGUUCUACAUCCUGCCGUCACAAUCCAUCUGGAGUUUCGACGAAUUUUCUUUGAUUUUUACCAAAGAAUAUUCAUCAUAUUGCUUGAUUAAGAAAAAGUCCUACCACUUGUUCAACGUCAAGAAGUACCCAAAGGAGUCGCUUCACGACUAUGUGAAGAGGUUCAAAGCAGAGAAGGUAAAGAUAGUCAGAUGCAAUGACUCGAUAGCUAGAGCAGCCUUCCAAAAAGGACUCCCAACAGACCACCCGCUGUUCAGAGAAUUGAUCAUGAAAGAAUUUCUAACUCUAGCAUACUCUUUCGCUAUAGCAGAGAAACAUGCACUUUGGGACAAGGUUCGCCGAUGCAAAUUCAAGGCAAAUCCAAGCGAUCUUGAAUAUGAAGUCUACCACUACUCCGAAGGAGAUUCAAGGUCUGACUGGACGAGCAACCACAUCUGAAGUAGCAAUAAGCUCUACCAUCAUACGAGAAGAGUUAGGGGCCCGACUACCUGUAUUUCACAGUUCAAAAGCUCUCCUCGAUGCUACCAGAAAUUCAAAAGCUAACUUUGGCAAUAGUUGUUACAACUCGGAAGCUCAAGUUUUACCUUCAGACGCACGCAGUCAUCCUUAUGAUGUGCUAUUUCGCUCAAUUCAGAUGCGCGAUGAUAAAGGCGUAGACACUGGUGGAUGCAAAGUUUUCUGACGAACGCAACAAGUCGGCCUAAAAGGCGCGCCAAGGGUAGCCGAACACUAGAAGAACGCACUCGGAAAUAGGUUUUGUCCUCAUCGUCCCAAAAGAUUAUACAUAAGAGCAACAUGUACCGGCAGUUGAACACCACCUUCUGCUACGUAUCACAGGGCCCCAGCCGACCCUUGCUCGAUAAUUCAACUCUAAAGUGGCCAAAUACCAGUAGUUGAGCAUCUCCCACUGCGUGUAACAUGGCCCCAGCUUCAUAGCUUCUUACCACGCAUUCACAACACAACAGGGUGACCCAACAACGGCUUCACAGCUCCCUACUGCGCCUUAACGUCGAGCCUAGGCGACGUAACAAAGUGGCCAAAAAACGCCCUGGAGGUAGCCGAGCACGCCCUAGCCGCGCUUACUCCACCCAAUGGAAACUUCUGGCAUUUGCAUGUCAACGACGCAUCUAACUACAAAGGUUCGGGAGCAGACGUGGUCCUUGUCACCUUAAAUGGUUCAAUGCCCGAAUAGGCGAUCACUCUAGGUUUCAAAGCAUCCAACAACGAAGCAGAGUACGAGGCACUACUAGCAGACAUCUGAAUGGUAAAAGACUUGGCGAUGAAAAAGCUCGUAAUUCAUUCUUAUUCCCAGUUAAUCAUUAGCCAAACUACUUGAAGCGUUUCAGACUUACACCCUCACUCAAGUUUCGUGGGCAGACAACGCUCACAUGGAUGCACUAGCAAGCCUAGGCUCCACCCUCGACCACCAACUCAAACGCUCUAUUCCGGUGAAGUAUCUAGACAAGCCAAGCAUAGAGACGGAGCCACUAGCCGAGGUGUCACAGGUUAGUACAACUUCAAAUUGGCAAGAUUCCAUUAUAGACUACCUGGUCAAUGGCACACUCCCCAUGGAAAGAUUAAAGUCUAGAAAGCACCAAAUAAAGGCAGCACGCUACUGUAUGUAGAACGACAUUCUCGUCCGAAGAUCCUACACUAGACCACAUCCGGUGCCUAGCGCCUCCAGACUACCUAAAGGUUCUAAGCUCAAUCCAUGAAGGCAUUUGUGGAAAUCACUCAGAAGGCCACUCCUUAGCACAUAAGGCUCUAAACGCAGGACUAGACUACCAUGCACCAAGACGCUAAGGAGUUAGUACAAAUGUACGACCGCAGCCAACGCUACAAGUCGUUACCAGCACUGCCUGCCAGUAAAUUACACUCGCAGACGAGUUAUUGGGCGUUCAUGCAGUGAUCAAUCGACUUGGUAGAGCCAAUGCCGCUCGCUACUGUGGGCAAAUGCAUGACGAUCGUGACAACCGAUUACUUCACUAAAUGGGUAGAAGCAGAACCCAUGAAUACCACAACAUAAACGGACAUAGAGCGCUUCAUAUGGAGGAACAUCAUUUACCGAUUUAGCAUCCCUCAAUCCAUCGUCAUCGAUAACGGCCCACAGUUUGUGGGCCAAGAUCUAGCGAAGUUCUUCCAAAAGUAUGGCAUCAAGAAACACAUGUCCACCCCGAGAUAUCCUCAAGGCAAUAGGCAGGCCAAAGCAUCCAACAAGACGAUCAUCGAUUGCCUCAAGAAAUCCUUUUCCGACAAGAAGGGAAAAUGGCCAAACAAACUCCCCGGAUGUCUAUGGGCAUAUCGCACCACCAAAAGACGAGCAACCGAACAGUAAGAAGAUGGCCAUAAGCAUAGAUCUAGCAAAGGAGAAGCGCAAGCAGACCAUCACCUGCAUCAUAGCCUACCAGUAGCAGCUCAUCUCCAACUACAACAAAAGGGGUAAAAUCUGACAGUUUCAACCCAUAGAUCUAGUUCUAAGAAAAGCCUUCAUCACUGCCCAUAGAGAAGGCUCCAAAAAGAUGGAUCUCAUCUGGGAAGGUCCAUAUAAGAUCAGCAGAAUAGGUGGCAAGGGUAAUUACACCCUUGCCACCAUAAACGACAAAGAGAUCGAAAAGCAAUGGAACGCCUACAAUUUGAGAAAGUACCAUGUGUGACCUCCCGCUACAUCAAAGCCCGAAGACUCAAGCAGCUUAACGGGCACCACCUCACAAGCCAAGGAUUAUCCAGUUGUUAUGUAGUUCCUACCUUACAACUAAGUUCUCGUUCAUUUUAAUCAUUUUUCAAUGAGGAAUUCAUAACUACUCUACAACUUGAUUCGGCUGCAUGCUUAUAACAAAUGAUCACUUCUGCACUUCAAAAGAAGAUCGCGCCCUUCUUAAGGACUCAUCGCAUGAAUUGCACCUCCUCUGAAAGACCAACCAUGCUCUCAUAAUUGCUCUCCAGUGCAAGAGGGUAAACGAAUUCCCCCACACCUACAUGGGUUUGCUCUCCAAUGCGGGAAGAUAAACUUUACACUCUGAAUAUCCAGACGUGGAUAAGUCGGGCUGCCAUGGUAUAACUAGAUGCAUGAUGGCUUGCACCGGGAUUCCUAAAAGUAGCCAUAAUGGUCUUUUUCAAGGCUUAGCUAACUGAAGAAUUUUGGGUCUCUUUGCCUAAUUCGUGGGGAACAGGGCCUCAAAGACGGAGAAGGCACAUUACGCAGUACGCCACAUGGAUGUUUACCCCUAGAACCCUAAAACUGCUACCGAGUGCACUAAGGUAGCCUACGGUUUCCAGAAGAUUGCCUACGGCUUGCCCUUUGAGCAGUAAAGCCACACUAGACUUAUACAACCGCACAUUCUGUGAAAGGUUAAACAAGCUAGCGUGCAUAUAUGAAGCUUUAUCCAUUGCCGACAUGUUACAUAGUCGAUAAGCUUCACCUCUGCCAAGAGUGAAACAACCUACACCAAGUCCUAAAGUGUUGUGAUACUUGCUACGCAACCUACAGAAUUGGAGAAAGCCAAGGUUAACAACCUAAUGGUUACGUGGACUUGUCUGCUUCUGUAAGUAAGGAAUCCGGCUGCCAACCCUAUAGCUAACAAAUUUGCAAAGUUCUACACCAACACAUACGACUGCAUAGACUACGCGGGCUUGUCUACUUAUGGAAAAGUAGCACACCUACCACUGGUCUAUAAAGUCUAAAGGUUAAGGCAUGAACAAAAGAAGCUAAGAUGAAGAAGAGUGAAGGAAGCAUGUCUAUAAAUGACUAGCGAAUGCCGAAUGAGUUCAAGCAAAACAAGAGCUACAAGGAAAACAAAGAAAAUCCUAAAGGCUACUUAGAAGACUACACUUCAGCAACUUGGACAUCUCAUGACCACUCGGUCGCCACACCUUCAGCAGCCGCGAAGCUUUUAGCAAUGACAUUAUCCAACGUUUCUCCUUUAGCUACCUCAGCCUGGGCACCAACUUCUCCAAUGGAAGCCUCAAAAGUAAAAGCAAGUAAGUCUUCUGGAGAAAUAAAGAAGGUCUCAAAACCUAGAACCCAACAUUUUCACCCUUCAGCUGCUCGUUUUCCUCAAGCAAACCAACAUGGACGUGCUGCAACUCAUCCACUUCCUUCUUCAUACUUUCAUUGAUCUUCAGUACGCCUUGAAGUUCCAACACUUAGGGUUCAAGCAUAUCGACGAUUCUCUUGAAGUAGAUCACUUGAUCAACUCUUCAUUCUUUGCAUAAGCAGAGAAACGAAGCUCAGAAACUACAAACUCAAGAUCUCGAAUAUGAGGUAUGUAACAUCCAAUCUCAUUCUCUGCACUUUCAUACUUAACUUAGAUCGCAUCAAGCCUAGUCUUCAAGUCAACGAUCUCUUGGUGAGCCGUCUCAAGCUACAAAGAAGUGGGGGCAGAAAUAUUAGACCCCUUCAAAGCAACGAGCUCAAAAUCCAACAUUUUUAUCCCCUCGGUCGAGGAAUAAGCUUCAGCUACCAUAGUAUUCACCAUCUCUUUGGCAGCCUUGCUAUAUCUGCAUCACAGGAAGCAGAGCAGUUCUUUUAUAUUGGGUUGUAUGUUUCGUAAAGGAACUUGGGCAAACAACCUUUCUAACGUCAUUGACAAACUUGGCACAAGCGUCCAUCUGGUUUCAAAAGCACACAGAUCUCAACAGCCUCCCCAAAGUAAGCUUAAUGAAUUUCUCAAAGGACAUAAGCCAUGCGGCUCGCCUAGCACUGCGCCUCGCAACCUCCUCAAUUCUUUCAAUUGUUGGCCUGGCCCACGUUAGGUCCAAGAGCCCAAAGGACAUAAGCCAUGCGGCUCGCCUAGCACUGUGCCCUAACGCCUCAAUCCGCGGCCCCAGGCGCAUAAGCUGCCCUUGGUUUUAGCCAAGCCAAGUAGCCCAAGCAGUGGUUUCUGCCACAACACCUCAUUAGCCUAUGCCGAGCCGACUCUUAGCCCCUGCCAGCCUACGUGCCGCACCACCCCAACGGUUGCCCUGCAACGGCAAUAUCCAACAAGAAGACGAGAAAAAAUAAAUUUUUCUUACCUUGGUGCGGCGCGGAAAAGACAAAGAAAUCAACAAAAGACGGUCCUUUGCACGGGCAAGUGUAGAAGAUUGCUAGAGGAGGGGGAACAAAUAUCAUCUAGCUCUCUCUCUUGUAAGGUAGAAUAAAUCGCUUUCCAAAGUUGAUUUAAUAACCCACUUAAGGUGGACUUAACUAGGCUUUGAGAGAAAUUUAUUUCCCUUUCCUACAAGAAUCUAAUUUCCUAAUAAAGAAGGAAUCUACAUCAAAAUAGGAAACAAGCCCAAGUUUCCUAAAGCAAGAAAAUCUCUACACAUGUUGCCCUUUUUUGCGAGCAGCCUAACAGGUGUGAGGGGAUCUGUGGAGCCAAAAAUAAUCAAGAGACGAUACGUGGAUUCUAGAGUUAAAAAGACAAAAUUACCCUCGAGGAACACCGAGAUUCCUACGCGCGAGCAGUGGACAAUCAUUCCACAAUCAAGUCAAAAGUGCCCAAAAUAGGUAUUUAUUCAAAUUAUGCACCUGCAUUCUCCACAGUAAGUCAUUGCUAGGUUUGACCUAGAAUCAGGUUUGGUGGUAAUUUUGACGAGCAUCUUCAAUCUCAGUACGCUCUUGAGGAGUACCUGCAUGGGGGUCAAACUCCCAUGUCUGCCUCCUCGUGAAGUUGUUUGUGCUGAAUAAAAAUGGGUCAUUUUCACCCUUCCCAAUUUUCAGCCUCCACAUUUUCUUCCUGUGUUCUCCAAUGCAUGCAAACAAACAACUAUAUACAAAUACGAUCUCUACAACAAAAGAGGGUAAAAGUCACUGUCUUUUUCAAACGCAACCAAUGGCAGUCAAUGAAACUUAUUAUGCACGACAUGAUAAAAUGAUUUAGAUAGCCUUGUCGUACUAGUACUAGUAUACGACAGAGCCUCAGGUUACUUAUGGACAUCAUUUUUCACUUUUUGAACAAGAAUGACUUACGAAAGAGUGAUUUUAAAUCCAUGACUUAGAUGGAAUGAGUUCACCUCCACCGCAAUGUUACAAUUCAAUUUAUUUUUACGUGUCAUCAUUAGAAAAUGGCAUAUAACAAAAUAAUAUGUGGGAGAUUCACUAUUAAUAUUCUUGUAGUGCUUACUCUUUUAAGGAUUCUUUCAACAUUGUUGUGGAGCCAAAAAUAAUCAAGAGACGACACGUGAAUUCUAUAGUGAAAAUGACAAAAUUACUCUCGAGGAACAUCGGAAUUCCUACGUGCGAGCAGUGGACAAUCAUCCCACAAUCAAGUCAAAAGUGCCAAAAAUAGGUAUUUAUUCAAAACCUAUUUCAUCCAUCCUCAUCAAAUCUUCUUCACAAGGUAACCCCCAAAAUAUUCCUUUCAAAUUAUGUUAAUUAGCUAAUUAAUUGAUUUAUUACCUAAUUAAUCUAUUAAUUGGCUAAUUAACUACCAAUUACGCCAAAAAAUGCCACAAGGGGCCAGUUACCAUCUCUCCAAAGGGGGGCGGCAUAUACUACCCCAUUUUCUCUAAAAACCUAAGUUCUACACUUUUGCUAAAUUCUUCAAAUUCUCCAAACAUUUUUCCCUCAAAAUUUUAACUUUGGCAUCGGAGGUUCUUCGGCCAAAGUCCACCCUCCCCCCCUCCAAUUCAUCGUGGGUGCGUGAGGCUCUUGCCCUUGACUUAAUGUAUUGUUUGUUUUGUAGGUGCAAUUUUGUCCAAGAACAAGAAUGAAGAAAUUUGCAUCCACAAUUGUCUCUAUAUCCAUAAAAUUCUUGAAAUAUUUUCGAUAGUAAGAUUAUACAUUAUGGUUUGAUCAUCUUUUUUAAUAUAUCCCUAUAUAGAUUUUCAUUUUUAUAUUAUUUUCAAAGAUAUAUGGCUCAUUUGGAAAUGCUUUUAAAAUAACUUAGACCCUUUUUGGAGAAAAUAUUUUCGGUUUUUUCAAGAAUUACUUGCAUUUUCAUUAAGAAUCAAUUCCAAAAACAUUUACACCAAAAAUGCUUUUAUCCAUUUUAUAAAACAUUUCCAAACGAGCUCAUAAAGUUUCAUUUACUAAUAGGUUCGAACUCCGUGGGCUCUCUAAUUUAACAAACUUAUCGUUUGACAAAAAAAAAAUGAAUACGUCAUUUUUGGGACAAAGAACAAACAGUAUCCGUUACUCACUUGAAUGGAUAAUUAUGUGUGCAAGUAACCAAUUGCGUGUAACCACUGGAACGGAUUUAUGUAUCCAAUCACCCAAGCACCCAAUAAAUGUGUCCAUUUAUGUGAUUGGAUUGUCUUUGGGAAAAAAAAAUAUGAAUGGUUUCUCAGAAAAAAUUGUUUCUCUAUUUAGUAAGAUGGAGAUGAGUGCAGACAACAGCUUAAUUAAUUUUCUGUUAAGCUUUAGUCUUCAUUCAGAUAAGAUAAUAUGCUAUAUUUCUUUGACCAACUUCACAGGAUAGCUCAAUCUGUUACUCCUUGUGAAAGAUGGGUUCAAUCCAUUCCAAUUUUUGCAGAAUUUUAACAACUCGAAUGGGUUUAAGCAUUGCUCGAAAGGGACUCGAAGGGUUCUAAACCAUGAGAAAAAAAUGGUCAAGUCUGUUUGGGUCUAUGCGUGGCUAAGGGUUUUGUGUGUGAAACACACCGUUUUAAAAGGCAAAGGUGUAGGCGAGCGUUUCAUGAAUAGACCUUCCUCAGCGAAAGCCUUGUGGUGUGACCUAGUAUUUCUUGUUAGAAGAAGGGUUUAGUUUUCCAAAUAUCCCCUUUCUUAAGUUUCCAAAAAAUUGACUUUUUGAUAACUUGUUGAUAAUAGAAAUUUAGAAAAUGACAGCCAAGCAGGCUCCUAUGGUAGUAGAAGAAGGGUUUAGUUUUUCAAAUAUCUCCUUUCUAAAGUUUCCAACAAAAGACUGACUUGUUGAAUAAUAGAAAAUUGUCGCUCUUAAGUUUCCAAAAAAAUACUUUUUGAUAACUUGUUGAAUAAUAGAAAAUGACAGUUUUAUACUACAUAUUUUAUCCAAUUCUUAGUUAUAAUUUAUUGGUUAUUUUGUGAGAAUUAUGAUAUUUUGAAUUGAAUUUUUAAUAUAAGAUUUUCUACUUUCUCUGGGAAAAAAAUGUGAUCAAAUGGAUGAAUUUUGGAGUAAUUCCAAUUAGAGGACGUCUGUGAGUCGCUUAGCUUGAUCAUGUCAAAACAUCAUAUUUUUCUACCAAAAGAUUAUUUUCUGGCGAUUAAAUAAAAGAGCAAUGAGUGAUGUUAGAAAGUGACUUUAUGGCUUAAUUGUAAUUUUUGGAGUCCAAGAUGACCACUUUUGGGUUUGGGCCUUUCUGGAGAAGUGUUCAGAUUAUUCCAAGCUUCAAAAUGAGUUAUCAUAGGCCAGAUUUGGAGGAGAUUUGGAUCCAAAAUGUGACUGUGAAGAUUAUGGGCAGAUUUCAUCAGUUUGGGACUAUGUUUCCUAGUUUAUUUUAAUUUAUUUAGUUUCCUAGUUUUAUUAUAAAACUUUUUCUAGGAAUGAUUUUAUUUUCUAGCAAUAUAAAUAAGGAUAUUUAGCCAUUAGGGUUAAGAACGCAUCAAUUUGGAGAACUUGGCUAGGCUUUGACGAUUUGUAUUCUUCUUUCAAUGUAUUUUCUAUCCUUUUUCUAAUUUCAAUAAAAUUCCUUUUGUUUUAUGAUUGUUUGUAACUAAUUUUUCUUUGCUAGGGCGAGGCCACGAGUCUUAGCAUGAAUAUGUAGUCUUUAUUCAAUUGCUUAUGAUGUUAUGCACGCUUACUUUCAAUUGUUAAUCACUUUGUUUAAACUGUCUCUAUUUCUUAAUGCUUAGCUACCAUUAUUAUGUUUAGAUAAGUAAUUGAAUGCAAUUCAGUCGAAAUAUCACCGGAGGAUUGAGUAUUGCUUCUUGUGAUUGAUAAUUGUAAUUUCACCUAAGGUGAAUAUCACGCUCUUAGGGGUUGCAUGGUUUUUCAAAAGGUUUUCACAGAACUUAAUGAGUCUUGCAUUGUAACAUCCCACAUCGCCCCGAGAAGUGGAUCAUGUAAGCCUUAUAUGUAUAUUCCCAUUUAUACCUAGCACAAGGCCUUUUGGGAGCUCACUGGCUUCGAGUUCCAUCGGAACUUCGAAGUUAAGCGAGUUCGCGCGAGAGCAAUCCCAUGAUGGGUGACCCACUGGGAAGUUCUCGUGUGAGUUCCCAGAAACAAAACCGUGAGGGCGUGGUCGGGGCCCAAAGUGGACAAUAUCGUGCUACGGUGGAGUCGAGCCCGGGAUGUGGUGAUGGCUCGGGCCAGGAUAUAACAAUUUGGUAUCAUAGCCAAUCCCUGGCCGGACCAUCUCUACCUAGCACGAGGCAUUUUGGGAGCUCACUGGCUUCAAGUUUCAUCGAAACUCCGAAGUUAAGCGAAUUCACGCGAGAGCAAUCCCAUGAUGGGUGACCCACUGGGAAGUUCUCGUGUGAGUUCCCAGAAACAAAAUCGUGAGCGCGUGAUCGGGGCCCAAAGCAAACAAUAUCGUGCUACGGCGGAGUCUAGCUCGAGAUGUGGUGGGGUCCCGGGCCGGGAUGUGACAUGCAUGCUUACAUUUAAUUGAAGUAUUAUUGAUGGAUUGCAUGUUAGAUAUACGUUCUUACUUCAAUAUCACAAGGAAGAUAUGCAUUAGGAAAACCUAACAUUCAAAGUUGCAUGUGUAAUUAAUAUGUAAUUAGUAAAAUUACGUAGGAUUGUUAAGGUGACGGCCGAACCCUAGGCUUUUACAAUUUGGUUUUCAAAACAUUUUCUUUUGUUUUGUUUACUUUGCUAAUCUAUUUAAUCAUUUUAAUUAAAUUCGUUUUUAAUAUUUUAGGUCAUAAAAUCAACCUUUUCCAAACUUUAUUUUCAAAUAAUUAAUUAAGAUUUGAUUUUUACAUAAAUUAUUCAUUCAAUCCAUGUGGAGAACGACCUUACUAGAGCUGACUAUACUACGAUUACCUUGUACUCUUACAAGUAUUUUUUCGUGUUUUUAUCCUUACUUUUGCAUGUGGUAAAGAUCCUAUCAAAAAAUUGGCUUCGUUGCCGAGAAUUGUUUUAAAUAAUUUGUGUUUAUCAUAUUCUUAGUUACUUACUUUUGUCCCUGACUUUUAUUUACUUGAUUUUUUUUUUAGGCUACAACUUGUUGAUUUUGAUAGCAGUGCAACAAUGGAAUGUGUACCCUCUCUGGAUUCGAUGUACAACUAGGACGAUCACCUUUAUGGGUCAGAUUUGUAGAAUGGGGUUUUAUGGAAUUAAACCUACAAUUUGUGCACUUUGCUGUUUGAACACCCAUGAUAUUUUGCAGUGCCCUGAAAAUGAAUAUUUUCUUGAGUUUGUGUGACAUCCCACAUCGCCUAUGAGAGUGACCCUUAAAUGUAUAUUCUUUUCCCUACCUAGCAUGAGGUCUUUUGGGAGCUCACUGGCUUCAGGUUCCGAAGGAACUCCGAAGUUAAGCGAGAAGGUAGCCAAAGCACUCCUAGGAUUGGUGACCCACUGGGAAGUUGCUCAUGAGUUCCCAGAAACAAAACCGUGAGGGAAUGGUAAGCCCAAAGAGAACAAUAUCGUGCUACGGUGGUGGAACGGGCCCGGGAAGUGGUCUGCCCCGGGCCCGGAUGUGACAAAUGGUAUCAGAGCCAAUUCCUGGCCGGAAGUGUGCCGACGAGGACGUCGGGCCCCUAAGGGGGUGGAUUGUGACAUCCCACAUCGCCUAGGAGAGUGAUCCUUAAAUGUAUAUUCUCAUCCCUACCUAGUACGAGGUCUUUUGGGAGCUCACUAGCUUCGAGUUCCGUAGGAACUUCGAAGUUAAGCGAGAAGGUGGCCAGAGCACUCCCAAGAUGGGUGACCCACUGGGAAGUUGCUCAUGAGUUUCUAGAAACAAAACUGUGAGGGAAUGGUAAGCCCAAAGCGGACAAUAUCGUGCUACGGUGGUGGAACGGUCCCAGGAAGUGGUCCGCCCCGGGCCGGGUUGUGAGAGUUUGUCCAGAAGCAUAUCAAUAUGAGAAUCGACUCAAAAAGGCAUUGGAAAAAUCCCUAUUCAAAAUUCUACACUCCAAGUUUGAAAAAGUGUCAUGAGCAGUAUUUUAAGCAGCCUAAUGUGCCACACAAGCUUUCGGUAGAGGACAAACUCUCUAAAUUGUUGGAAUCAACUUAGUUGUAUUUUGAAAUAACCAAUCAAGGAUUUCAUAUUCAAGCAUUAAACUGUGGGAAAAACUAUGAUUGUGAAAUCCCGUUCUUGGAUUUCACUAUUGUAAUUUACAUAUUUCGUAUUCACGGUAUUUUAUAGUAUUUUCGUGAAUAUAAAUUAAUUUUUUAUUUUAAUUACUUAAGUACAAAGUUUGAAUUUUUUAAAAAUAAUUAUUUAUAAUCCGUAGACUUUCGAGGGUCAUUCUUAAUGUUUUCAAAUUGAGCUCGAUACCACAAGUGCGUAAGCGAAGGCUGUUCGUGAAUUGAGACGAGGAAGGAGAAGUUACGGACGUUAGAAGUUUCUUAAAUAAAAUAAGAAUUUAAUAUUUUUGGGGUUCCCAUUACUUUGGAAAGGGACCAAUUAGAAAAGAAAAGAAAAAAAAAGAUUAGAAGCUGCCAAAUGGAAGCAAGAGAUGGGGGAAAUGAGAGUUGUGGGAAAGAAAUGAGGGGGGAAAGACCAUUCAGAAAGGGAAAGAAUGAGGGAAAAUGAGGGAGAGGAGUGUAGACAUCGAAAUUUCGGUAAAUAAAUGUUGACCGAUAAAUCAAAGUUUCAACGCUCAUAUAUUACAUAAAUUUUACACGUAGCGUGUGUCUAAACAAAAAAAUCAAAAUAAGUUGAAAAAGUCAUCAAACAGGACACGUGUCAACACCUGGCAAAAACGACUUAUUUCAUCUGGAAUAUUAUAUUCAAAAUUAGGCCUUGGAAAUUUCUAUAAAUAGAAGGCUAAUUCAUUCAUUUAGAGGGACCAAAAUCAUUAGGCAAAAUUCUUGAAGUUCUGAAGCUCUGAAACUCCGAAGCUCUCAAGCAUCCAGGUUCCCGAAGAAUCAAGAAAGCUCUCUUCGUUAUUCGUUCAUCAUUCUUCCAAGAUCAAGCCCCAACGGCCCUUUGGAUCAACAAUCGUCCACCAAUUCAAGAUCAAGCCCCGACGGCCCUCGAAGAAAGUGUUCUUCGUUCUUCGUUCAUCGUUCUUCCAAGAUCAAGCCCCAACGGCCCUUUACACCAACAAUCAUCCACCAAUUCAAGAUCAAGCAUCAACGGCCCUUGAAGAAACACUCAUCCUCAAGAUCAAGCCCCAACGGCUCCUUGAAGAUUCGCUCAAAUCCACCUUCAAAGAUCAAGCCCACGGCCCUUGAAGAAACUUCCAACAGUUCAUCCAAAAUCAAGCCUCGACGGCCCUUGGAUCAACGAAACAUCCACAAAUCAACACCUUACGAAGAUCGAAUCAGAGGAUCAAAAUAGAGAGAGAUUGUAACCCAAAAUCAUCAAAUACAAAUAUUAUUUUGUGCACGUUGUUCUUGUUUCUUUCGUUUCAGGAAAAUUUCGUGUUUACAAAUUUGGCAUGCCCAGUGGGACCAUCUCUACCUCUCAUCUCUUUCUCCGUUUAAGGAAUCCAAACACACCUCAAAGUCAAUGGCAUCAAGCAAGGGACAAGCCGUUCUCGCAACCACUGAGGGAAGGAUCCUAAGCACUUCUGCCGCAAACGGACAAUCCAUUGGCGCCACAACCGCUCCUCAACAUGCCACUUCAAAGUUGGUGCCGCUAAAAGAGCAAGGAGAGCAUCAAAGGUACGAGUUUGUCAUCAACCUGACCUCGCUGAGAGCACCGAAGCAUGCUGCUGAGGCACACAAGAUGACAUCCCAAAACAGCCAACGACGUUCUUCGUCAGCAUCCUGGAUGUCUAAAGGAAAGUCACAUCUAUUGGUUGCACAAGUCAUGACCAUCGGCGUUACCUCCAUCGAAGAACAACUGGCUUAAAUGAAUGAAGCGAUUGCAAGGCUAACACGGAUUGUGGAAGAAAAAGACUUGCAAAUCGCUGCACUCGUCAGCCGACUGGAGCCACAGGACGGCGAGAACCCCAACCCAGAAGAUGAUCCACUAAAAAAAGGAGCUAGCGAAGAAGAUGAGCCUCCGAUGGAGAGAAUCGAUGCGAAGCUGGAGCCAGACCAAGCAGCGGCACUCAUGGGAUCUCUUUCUAUCCAGCAGCUGCAGGAGAUGAUCACCAACACCAUCAAGGCACAGUAUGAAGGGAGCUCACAUACCUCCUUGUUCUACUCGAAGCCCUACUCCAAGAAGAUUGAUGCCCUGAAGAUGCCAAGGGGUUAUCAACCACCAAAGUUCAUGCAGUUUGAUGGAAAAGGAAACCCAAAGCAGCACGUUGCACAUUUCGUCGAAACUUGCAACAACGCAGGGACCGAAGGGGACUACCUCGCCAAACAGUUUGUGCGCUCGCUGAAAGGAAACGCCUUUGAAUGGCACACGGACCUAGAGCCUGAGUCCAUCAACAACUGGGAGCAAUUGGAAAGAGAAUUCCUCAACCGCUUCUAUAGCACCCGCCGCACUGUGAGCAUGCUAGAGCUAACGAGUACAAAGCAGUGGAAGGACGAGCCAGUCAUUGACUACAUCAACAAAUGGCGCACUCUAAGCCUCGACUGUAAAGACAGGCUCUCGGAAACCUCUUCAAUCGAGAUGUGCAUCCAAGGCAUGCAAUGGGGUUUGCAAUACAUCCUUCAAGGCAUUAAACCACGGACCUUCGAGGAAUUGGCCACUCGCGCCCAUGACAUGGAGUUGAGCAUCGCCCAUCAUGGGAAGAAGGAACCGAUCGUCGACUACAAGAACGACAAAGUUCUUGAGACAAAGGUGGAGAAGGCUGCAUGGAAACCCACCAAGGAAGCGAUGACGGUCAACACAUCUCCCGUCAAAAUCUCCACACGAGGCAAGGCGAUUCAAACCGAAGCUUUUCGUGAUCAAGAGAUGCGUAGACGCACUUUGAAAGAGCUUGAGGAGAAGACUUAUCCAUUCCCCGACUCUGAUGUGGUUGCCAUGCUGGAUGACCUGUUGGACAAGAAGGUGAUCGGUUUGCCUGAGUGCAGACGGCCGGAAGAGAUGAAUCGUACCGACAAUCCAAGAUACUGUAAAUUCCACCGCUUCAUCAAUCAUCUAACAGAAAAAUGCUUCAUGCUGAAAGAUCUCAUCAUGAAGCUGGCUCAGAAAGGAAUCAUCGAGCUAGAUCUUGACGAUGUGGUGAAGUCAAACUAUACCACCAUCACUUAUGGCUCUUUCAACACAAAAUCUUCACCUCAACCGCUGGGGGCAUCCUCUAAGACAAGCAAAGUUGAAGGAUGGACUCAAGUCACUCCUAAGAAAUUGCACAAGAAGCAUACGUCUCCUCCACAAGUCCGCCAAUAGGAAAGGGGGCAAAGCAGCUCUUGUCAACCUUCAAAGCAACGUGAAUGUGUUGAAGAUGAUGAAAUUUCGACACAUAGAUCGUCCAUCCCCAUCACGAUGAGCGACUUCUUGCCCGAAGACUUCUUCAAUCACUCGGUCAAGGCUCCUUGCUAUGAAGAUUGUGAGGAACGCCUCUCCAAAAAUUGCUUGACAAAUUCACCAAAUUCUCCUCGCCCGCACGAGUCUAAACUGCAUGGCACAAAGCUCCUGGUCUGCACGAGCAUAAAAGGCAACACCAAUGCUCCUUGUUCGCACGAGCCUAAACUGCACGAACCAAAGCUCCUUGUUCGCACGAGCCUAAAACUGCACGAACCAAAGCUCCUCGCCUACAUGAGCCUAAACUGCAUGGCACAACACUCCUGGUCCGCACGAGCAUAAAAGGCGACAACAAACGCUCUUGUCUGCACGAGCAUAAAAGGCAACACCAAACACUCCUUGCCUGCACGAGCUGAAACUGCAAAUGGCACCAAAGCUCCUGGUCUGCACGAGCAUAAAAGGCAACACCAACGCUCCUGGCCCGCAAGAGCAUAAACUGUGUACGGUAAAAUCAUCAUCAAAAUCACUGUUAAAUUCAUCACUCAUUUGAACUACGUUGUGACUUGAUCUCUUUCUUUGGAAGGGUACGUAGGCAACUCGAAUAUUCAAAAUUUAAGUUCAGUCACACCAAAAUAAGGAAUAAAGAUUUAAUUAAAAGUUUUGAUGUUAUUACAAUUUCUUUGUACAAAAAAAAAAAAGAAGAAGAAAAAAAAAAUACAUAUGCUUUAUGUAUUAAAAAAAAUAUAUAUAUAUAUGGAUCCCAAAGCAACACCAGGCCCAAUCUGCUGCAAGCCCAUCAAAAGAAGUCGUCCUGAUCCAAAAGAUACCAAAGGCAGCCCACUCAGCAGCUUUGUCGACAUCAGCAUCAUCAAAACCAAGGAAAAAAUCAUCCACAAAAAAAAUGGUUGCAAGAAAACCAUGGUGAGUAUGGCAGUUACAGGAGCAAUCAUUGGUUCUGCAAUUGGUGGAUGGAUGAACGAUGCCCUAGGCCAAAAAAAAUAAAAAAUCAAUCCUAGCAGCAAAUUUUGACUUCUUCAUUGGAGCAAUAGUAAUGACUGUUGCACCAGCUUCGUGGGGAGGUACGGGUAUGGGUACACCGUCAACGAUGACGCGGAGGACCAGAUCGAGUGCACGGGGAGGCACGGCAAAUCGUGCAGCGGCGUGGCUCUCUGCUGCUGCUCCUGCGAUCUGGUAAGCUCCGCCUCUGGAGCUCUGCUGCUGCUCAUUUGUCCAGAAUCUGGUAAGGACUAUGCCGUUCUUGUUUUGAAUGACGUAAGGUUAUGAGACAGAUCGAAGAGAUAGGGCGGCAGAGAAUCGGAGUGCGCCGAUCUCGCAAUCCUCUCCCUUUCUUUAGCCUUACGGUUACCCACCUCCAUCUUCCUCAGUCUCGUCCGACCCCUCUUUCACUCUCGGAGAUGGCAUGUCGUUCAUUUCCCAGAACAGCAGCGCCAGGUCCAAGCAGUAGCAGCAUCAACCUGUGUCGGCUCCUGAUCUGCCACAACAUCAACCAGCUAGUUCAUGUUCUCGCCACUUUCUGGUGCCAUUCGUGGGUCACAACCAGAUCCAGUCAUUUUUUUUCCUGGAGCACACCUGAUCUGCCACAACAUCAACCAGCUCCAGUUUCGAAAGAAGCAAGCCGGCCCGAGCGGAGGAGAACCGGGUCCUAGCAGCAGCGACCCGGGCAUGGCACGGCAGUUCCCACUUGCGGCUCAGCCAGAGAUCAUGAGAGCAGCCGAAGAAAGAGAGAUGUUCUCCGGUCCCUGCUGCUGUCGACUCCCCCAAGGUUCAGACGGCUGCUCCUUGUUCCUCUCUGCCCAGCGAGAGUCCCAUCCGUGAGCCCAGAUACCGCAACGUGCACCCUCGUCUCGGCCAAUAACAACGGAAAGGCAGCAGCAAAGUGGUGACAUUCGGAGACCGUAAGCCCACCGUAAUUCUCUCUCCGUCUCUCUUAGACGAACAACAAUGGUGUCGCUCACUCCAGGACCAGCUGCUCUCGCACCUCCCGUGGUAGCACCGUCGGCAGCAAGCAAGUCAUCUUCCUCCGUGCUCCUCCUUCUUCCUCCUCCAAGCUCCAAUCCCGCACCCUAUAUAUAUAUAUAUGUAUAUGUAUGUACGUAUGUAUGUAUGUAUGUAUGCAUGAAAAGGACAAAAAAAAUUUAUAAAAAAAGGGAAAAGAGGAGACAUGGUGCACCCGGCAUCGAAAGCGAAAAUAAAAAAAAUAAUUAAUAAAAUAAUAAUAAUAAUAAUAAUAAAUAAAAUAAAUAAAUAAAUAAAUAAAUAAAAUGAUGGUGUCAGCCAUCACCCUAAUAUAUAUAUAUAUAUAAUAAUAGGUGCAUGAUUAAAAAAAAAAAAAAAAAAAGGAAAUGAAGGUGGUGGUGCGUCUGGCACCAUGUGAUAAAAAUAAAAUAAAAAAAAAAGGGAAGUGGUGGGUGCAUCCAGCACCGAAAAAAAUAAAAAAAAAUGGUGGAGCAUCUAGCACCAUGAGAAACAUAUACAAAUAUAUAUAUAUAUAUAUAUAUAUAUAUAUAUAUAUAAUGCAUUUAGUAAAGUCCAUCUUUUAUUUAUUUCUCUAAAAAAAUUUCAUAAAUUCGCGUUCCGCAUGUCAUAAAAAAAAUAAUAAAUAAAUAAUAAUAAAAAAAAAGACAAAUCAAAUUUACAGGAGGGGAUCUUCAAGGUUGCUUGUGUGAAGCCUCAUCACUCGGCGGAACUCUAGGAAGAAGAGGAGCCGGAGGUUGAUCAUUUGGAGCAUCAUUACGCGGUACAGCCCCAGAAGACGAAGGCAAAUGUUGUUGGAACAAACCCACAAACCUCUGAUGAUCAAGUAAAAUCUGACCAUCAGAUUCCUGCAUCUGGUCAAUCUUCCUCUUCAUGUUUGUCGCAUAGCUAUGUGCGAGCUUAUGCAAUUGUUUAUUCUCCUGCUUGAGCCCUCUAAUCUCCUGUUUGAGACUCGUCACUUCAACCGCCAAUGAUUCAACUUGACGGGUUCGAGCAAAUAGGCGUUGGGCCAUAUUAGACACAGAACCUGCACACUGCACACUGAGAGCCAGAGAAUCCUUAACAGCCAACUCAUCAGACCGUUUGGAAAGUAGUAUGUUAUCUCUGGGAGUGACAAGGUUCCGGGCCACCACCGCAGCGGUCAUAUCAUUCUUCACCACCGAAUCCCCAACGGUAAGAGGACCAGUAGGGGAUAUGAAUGAUGGGCGCCAUAUGUUGUCUGGAGAAUAAGGGACUGCCUCUUCACCAAGGUUCAAAUCAAAACGACGGUCGGAGGGUCCAGACAUUUUCUAAGGUGUUGAAGAAAGAAGAAGUCGGACAAAAUCAAGAUCUUAGAAGUGCAAGAAAGGAGUUUUCACAAGCAAAAAUUCAAGUGUGCUUCGAAACGAACAGCGUGCCUCUAUAAAAAAACAGCACUCGACGGGAUUUCAGAGAUCGAAGAGGCGAGCUCAGAAUUCGAAGAGGCCAAUUCAAAAAUCGAAGAAGUGCUAUCUUUCUCAAAAGUUGGGCUUGCUCGGAAACCAGGGCGAUCUUCCUUUCCAGACUUGUCAGCACCCAUCGCACGCAAACUCAACUUUGCAGAAAUCACGGGCAAUUUGUUAAAGCGCCAAUCCCAGAUAUCGAAGAGGCGCCAGUCUUUUUCAGCCUCGUCAGCAUCCGUCACGAGCAAACUCAGCUUUGCGGAAAUCACGGGCAAUUUGUUAAAGCGCCAAUCCCAGAUAUCGAAGAGGCGCCAGUCUUUUUCAGCCUCGUCAGCACCCGUCACGCGCAAACUCAGCUUUGCGGAAAUCACGGGCAAUUUGUCGAAAGCGCCGAUCCCAGAUAUCUAAGAGGCGCCAGUCUUUUUCAGCCUCGUCAACACUUGUCACAUGCACACUCAGCUUGACGAAAAUUACGGACAAUUUGUCGAAGAUUUCUGAUAAAGAAUAAAUCACGUGAAGCCAUACUGAUCAACCACGCAAUGGUUGCCGACACGAGUAAAAAAAAAUAGUACCUCUACAGGUAUUAAAGAACUUCCUAUAAUUGUCCACCUUCACCCUACAUAGCAAGGCAGACAUACAAAACAUUUCUUCAUCUCCGAGAAUGCCUUCCCAACGAAGCCUCUCGAGUCACCUAGUGUUCCUUAUUCCUUGGGGUACCUCUGCAAGCCAAUGACUCCAAAGCAAAAGUAUCUCAUAUCACCAGGGUAGAAAGCAAGAGUAUCUCAUAUCAUGCGUUCUCUUUGUCCUUUCCUUUGUCCUUGUUCUUACCUACAAAGACAAGGAUAAAGAAAACAAUAUACCGGAACCUCCACUCAAACUCGGGUAAGGAACCGACUGCUUGGAACCCUUCCCUGAUUGCCUACCUAGCACUGCUCUCGAGUACUUAUCUCCCACUGCUGCUGUACUUCCAAAGAAGCUGCCACAUCUGCCUGAAGAACAGAUAAGGCAAGUGAAAAUGAUACCUUGCAGCAUGUGGAGACAACGUGCAGAAGAAACAAGCAGAGAAGAAUGCAGCUUGCAUAGUCAACUCAGCAGAAGGAGUCUGAGAUGAGGAACUCGAGAAGAUGCCACAUCUGCCUGAGGAACAGAUAAAGGAAAUGAAAAUGAUACCUUGAAGCAUGUGGAGACAAGUGCAACAAAGCACAUGCUGAUUCAUCCGCUACUUCUUCAAAAUCAAAAAUAUCUCAUAUCAUCAAGUUUGCAAUCACUCUGGGUGGAUGACUCGUUUUGACCCUCAAAUUCUUGGGUCGACUUGUUAAGCGUUGUGGGCUGCAUGUGCCGUUUCACCACCCUUGAAUCAAAUCCUUAAAGAUCAAGUCACCAACUGGAAGAAGAGCCCAUCAAUCUUGAAAAUCAUACCGUUGACCAAACUGCUCAGGUGUGAAUUAGAAAGAUUGAACAAAGCAAUAAGUCGUCACUUUCACCUCGUGCCUGCUUGUCAUGUGUUCGAGUCAACCUUCAAGAAUCAAGCCUUAACGGCCUUUGAAGAAGCUUCCAACCAAAUUCAAGAUCAAGCCUCGACGACCCUUGAGGAAAUCACAAGUCCGAUUCAAGAUCAAGUGUCUAGCCCCCUUGAAUCAAAACCAGUUCAAGAAUAAGCUGUGGAAAGUCAACAAUUGGAGGAAUCCAGAAAAUCCUCCAACCCAGUUCAAGAUCAAAGUUGUGGAAAGUCAACAAGCGCAACAAAAUACAUGCCGAUUCAUCCACUACCAAAGCCAAAGAUCAUCUACCACAUGAAACUCCUUGUGGUCCAAUUUCAACCUUCAAGAUCAAGCCUCGACGGCCCUUGAAGAAAUUUCAAACAAAAGUUCAAGGACAAGCCUCAACAGCCCUUGAAGAAAUCUCAAGCCCAAUUCAAGAUCAAGCCUCGACGGCCCUUGAAGAAAUCUCCAACCCAAUUCAAGAUCAAGCCUCAACUAGGGCUGGGCACGGGCCGGGCCGGGCCCAAAUUUAAAGGAACCGAACCUACCCGUUUUAAAAUAUAACAGGUCUGGCCGGGCCAGGUAAAGGGUUUUUAAGUUUGGGAACCGGACCUAACCCGGCCCGUUUGAAACGGGCCGGUUCGGGACGAGUCAACGGGUCCAAUUACUUUUUUUUUGGCUUUUUUGUUAGGUCCGAGACAGUGGGCUGCUUUUUUUUAUUACCAACAACACCCCAUUUACAUUGCCCACAUACAAUACAAACAGAUGAGAGCAAUAUAGAUUCUCUCGUGCGACCCCAGAUGUGAAUAUACACACUUUCAAUAUUUAAUCACUAUAAAAUUAUGGUAUCAGACAACUAUCAUCAAUAAAUUUUCACUAAUUCAGCUACCAAAAAUUAAAAAACGAAUUAAACACUAAUGAGACUAAUUAAUAACUAAUAAUUAAUCGCAAACCACUCGGUGAGAAUGAAUCAACAAUUCCCAACCUUCUCGUUUUCCAGAAAACCAACUCCGGGUCGAGCUUCUCCGCCGCCGUUCUCGCUGGCUCCAAUUUACACCUCGUCAGUAUCAACGGCCGAGCUAACCCUCCCAAGUCUCCGUCUUUAUCUUCUAUGCUCACCGAUUUUGCCAUUCUUUCUCGAAUUUCGCCCUCUAAUUCCCUGAAAAAUUCUAACUUUUCUUCGCUCUCCGACUCCAAUAUCGCUUCCUCAUCCGAAAUCCAGAAAAUUUAGAUAUGAUAUCCCUAAAUUCAGUAACCCAGAAAUUUCAAAAAUCCUAAUUCAAAAGUCCUAAAUCCCUGAACUCAAAAACAAAAUAAUUCAAAAACCCUAAUUUAGAAAUUACCUUAAUUUGAGAGAAGAUUGUAUGAUAUUUCGAAUUGCAGGAUGAUGGAGGUGUUUUCAACAGUGGUGAUGGGUGGUCAUGUUUGGGAGGAGACGAUGGCGAUGGUGGUGUUCACAGGAGGACUCGACUCGAGUGGGAAAGGGGACUGAGAAUCGAGAGGGAUAAGAGUCAGUCUGGACUCUGGAAGAGAGAUCGAGAUGGAGGACUCUGGGAGAGAGAUCGAGAGGGAGGACUCUAGGAGAGAGAGAUCGAGAGGGAAUACUAUGGGAGAGAGAUGGAGAUGGAGAACGUCUGGGAAAGUCUUCGAGAAAGAUGAGAAGUGUGUGAGAUUUGAGUAUGUGUGCGAUUUGAGUGUGUGAGGUUUAUUGGAUACGGUUCGGGCCGGGGGCCCGUGACUUCAGAAAAUUGGAACCGGCCCGCCCCUCAGUUUACUUCCACCCUACCCGCCCCGCCCCGUUUUGUAUAUAAAAUAAUAUGUACCCGCCCCGAACCGCUAAUACCCGCCCCUACCCGCGGGCCCAGGGCCCGUUUGCCCACCCCUAGCCUCAACGGCCCUUGAAGAAAUUUCCAGCCCAAUUCAAGAUCAAGCCUCAACGGCCCUUGGAUUGACAUCUACAGUAAGGGACUUCAAAACGCAUCUCCUACACGCGACAAGCACAUGUAUACAACGCGUAUUGAAGUGGGGGCAUUUGUAGACAUCGAAAUUUCGGUAAAUAAAUGUUAACCGAUAAAUCAAAGUUUCAACGCUCAUGUAUUACAUAAAUUUUACACGUAUCGUGUGUCUAAAAAAAAUCAAAAUAAGUUGGAAAAGUCAUCAAACAGGACACGUGUCAACACCUGGCAGAAACAACUUAUUUCAUCUGGAAUAUUAUAUUCAAAAUUAGGCCUUGGAAAUUUCUAUAAAUAGAAGGCUAAUUCAUUCAUUUAGAGGGACCAAAAUCAUUAGGCAAAAUUCUUGAAGUUCUGAAGCUCUGAAACUCCGAAGCUCUCAAGCAUCCAGGUUCCCGAAGAAUCAAGAAAGCUCUCUUCGUUCUUCGUUCUUCGUUCAUCGUUCUUCCAAGAUCAAGCCCCAACGGCCCUUUAGAUCAACAAUCGUCCACCAAUUCAAGAUCAAGCCCCGACGGCCCUCGAAGAAAGUGUUCUUCGUUCUUCGUUCAUCGUUCUUCCAAGAUCAAGCCCCAACGGCCCUUUACACCAACAAUCAUCCACCAAUUCAAGAUCAAGCCUCAACGGCCCUUGAAGAAACACUCAUCCUCAAGAUCAAGCCCCAACGGCUCCUUGAAGAUUCGCUCAAAUCCACCUUCAAAGAUCAAGCCCACGGCCCUUGAAGAAACUUCCAACAGUUCAUCCAAAAUCAAGCCUUGACGGCCCUUGGAUCAACAAAACAUCCAUAAAUCAACACCUUACGGAGAUCGAAUCAGAUGAUCAAAAUAGAGAGAGAUUGUAACCCAAAAUCAUCAAAUACAAAUAUUAUUUUGUGCACGUUGUUCUUGUCUAUUUCGUUUCAGGAAAAUUUCGUGUUCACAAGGAAAAGCAAGGAAUUCCCUCGACCCGUUUUACUUAUUCUCGACCCGAUGCAAACAAGGGCUUCUGAUGCCUUUCCCGGCCAAAAUCUGGCGAAUUACACCAAUUAAACACCUAAGAAAUACCCCAAAACCUUCCCUCUUCUAUUUUCAUAAAAAAAAAAAUUGAUAUCAAUUUGGUCCUAUUACGCGAGAAUUGAAGCUGAGGGCUUCGUGGGGUGCACGGCGGCGAUUCGUCGUUUCUGAAAGGUAUUCCAGUGACUACCACCACUAAAACUUUUCACUUGGACCCAAGAGCAAACCCCAAACAAGUAUAGGCGCAGUGGAGUUGAGAAUUUGACGAAUCAAAGCACACUAUUUCAAGGGUUUCCGGCAUAUCGAGGUGGUUUUCAGGCGUUUCCCGGUCGAAUUGGACUUCGGACCAAGUAUGAAAAAUGUUCCUUUCCUUGAGUUAUACAUUUUUGCAAAAUUUCGUGAAUUUUAGAGUUGGUGGGAAUUUGGGGUUUCCAUUCGUCGGAAACCGCCACCCGCAGAGGCGCAUCGCCAGUGGGCCGACACUGCCUUUUUUUGUUAAAUUCAAUGUUCUGAUUUCAAAUUUGAUAACCAUUGAUAUAGUUUGAUAGUUUGAACUUAGUAUGGAAUAUUACGCCACUUAACCCUUUUAUGAUUCGAUGAUUCGACCGUUGGAUCUUCUCCAAACUCUAAUGCAUUAUAGUACGUAAUAUUUGAGAACCUUAGGAACUUAUGGAUCGGGAAUCUGAUGUACGGAUCUUCGAUAAUUGAAUUUCUAAUUUGUAAGAUCAAAUGUCGACCGCCAAGUAAUUUUAACGAUUGGUGGAGAUCCGACCGUUGGAUCAUUCCAAAAUUUAGAAUACUGUUCUAGAUGAUUAAUGAGACUCUUGGGAAAUUACAAAUCAGAAAUAUGAUAGGCGGAUCUUCCGAAUUAGAUUACUAGGGUUGUGGACCCCACUGUUGACUAAGAGUUGACUUUUGGUCAACAUUUUUAGAAUCAUUUUCUUUAAAUACUAAAUUUGUACUAUUAGAGACUAAAUGAAAUCUGGUAGGCCUACGUUCGUUGGUGAGUGACUAUAAUAUGGGUGAUUUCUAUUGAAUUGUUAUUUUACUUUAGCCAUCGAUCUAUGUUUAUUAAUUAUGAUUUGACUGUAGCUUUGAAAUUUUUAUGAUAUGUUGUUUGAAUUGUAUGAUUGGUAUGAUGUGUAUGAAUGUUUUUAUGACGAUGUGAACCUAGAAUCUUAUUAGGAGUAUUAUGUAGAACUUUUAUGCUUAUAUGACAAGAUAGUUAGUGGUCACGAGAAGCUGAUAGUGCUAAUGCCUACGUGUGUUGAACUGAUUGCACCAAGUAGUAAUGGUAAUUGGAGGGUCCUGCUUGGUCUAUCCACGAUGGAGGACCAUACAUAUUUCAGGGGCGAUCAGGCUUAGUUUAUCCGCAAUUGGUGAUCACUGCCUGCAUGAUUGGACUAUGCUUAUGGUCCUGCUUGGGUUAUCCUCAAUAGAUGGACCAUACGCAUUCUAGGGGUGGUCAUUCUCGGUAUAUCCACAAUAGGUGAUCACUACCUAGAGUUAGGACGUGGUUCUACUUGGUAUAUCCGCGAUAGGGAACCACACGAUAGACUAUGUCUAUGGUUAUGCUUGGUUUAUCCUUAAUGGGGGACCAUAUGCAUUCUAGGGGUGAUCAUGUUUGGUAUAUCCAUGAUAGGUGAUCACUACCUAGAGAUAUGACAUGGUCCUACUUGUUAUAUCCGCAAUAGGGGCCUACGCGUUAGACUAUGCCUAUGGUUCUGCUUGGUUUAUCCGUAAUGGGGGACCAUACGCAUUCUAGGGGUGAUCAUACUUGGUAUAUCCGCGAUAGGUGGUCACUACCUAGAGUUAUAGGAUAUAGUCCUGCUUUGUAUAUCCGCGAUGGAGGACUGUGAGAAGUGAUCAUGCUUGGUACAUCCGCGAUAGGUGAUCACUGCAUGCACGUUUAGAUUAUACCUAUGGUUAUGCUUGGUUUAUCCACAAUGGGGGACCAUAUGCAUACUAGGGGUGAUGAUGAUUAGUUGUACUUGGUACAUUUCGAUAGGCGACCGUAUUUGAGUUAGAUUCCGUUGAAAGGUCUGGAAUCCCUACUCUGGCUUAUUUCCAUAAGGUUAGUCCGGCCCUAGAUUCGAGUAAUAGUAAUGGCUCAGUGUUGACUUUGUGUUUAUAAAUUAGUUUUAUCAUGUUAUGACAUGGAAUCCAUGUAGGAAAUUAUGCAGAAUUUCUUUUAUUAAAUUUCUGGAAAUUGUAUGUGAUCUUAUUGAUUGAUUAACGUAAUUAAAUGUUAGCAUCGUGCCUCCUUGAUUCAUGGAAUUGGUUAAUUGAAGUGAUAGUGGAAUGAUGUUGGAUAUAAUUGUUGUUAAUAUGAUUAGAUUAGUUAAUGAAUGUGACUAGAGGAUAAUAUUAUGCUUUGUUGAUCAUUUGAUAUGUUACAUGCUUUGUGAUUGCAAUAUUAGGAUAGUGAUUUUAUGAUGGAUGGAAUAGAAAUCUUGAAUGUCAUGUGGGUUCAUUAUGUAGCUUGAAUCAAUUAAUUCAUGCUUGUCAAGUCUGAAUAAUUGAUUGAGGAAUGAUACGCUUUCCUAUUAAAACGUAAUGGGAUAAGUGUCGGAGUUUAGUGUAUGAUGGUGAACUACAAUGGCUUGAUCCCUAUUUAGGGUACGUAGAUAGUCUAACAACAAGAUUAGAUGCAGCCAUAAAGUGUACGAAAAAAUUACUAUGCAAUUGGAUCGUGAGUUGUGCUUUGCACAUAUCCUAGAGGUAGGGUAUGUUAUAUAUACGGGUACUUGGUGACAUCACGUAUUGAUCUUGGACGUAUGUCGGGAUCGGGGCGUGACAAUGGUGAUAAAGAGGAGAUUGGUGUAGGAACUGGGAAGCAAUCUGCAAGCUAUUCAUGCCUAAGGGAGGAAACAACACAUGCUGAUCUUGAAAUCCUCCCAAAACCUUUGGCCACCCAAGCUUAUGCCCCACCACAACCCAUUCCAAAAGGUUGCAAGAAUGCAAGGAAACUGACGUGUUGGAAGGGGUUGUUCAUGCAAAGUUAAAGUUUGAUACACCACAUGAUUAACUCUUUAGCAAUCUGAUAGAUUUAGAUACAGGGCAGACAGCUACCAACACAAAAAUUUUUGGUUGCUGAAUUGAACAGGCCAUCAGCCCAAUCCAUCAAAUUCAAAGAAAAUUAGGGUCAGUUCCGUGAAAGCCAAAUUCCUCGUAGAGAAAUUCUGCCAGUGUAAAGGUUGUGGGUAUUAAAUACAAAGUUCAAGUCAAUUCGAUAGAGACGUAAGCCUCGCUGGAAUGGACCCAAUUGGAUUACAAAGAUUCAUUCACAUAGAAGAGCUGAUAUGAAGAAUUCAGCCACUGAAUUUAAAUGCAUAAUUGAUAAAACCUUAACACAUUACGUACUUGCUGUCGCCUUACGAUGCUGCUAAGGAGUGGUUGAUUCUAAAAGAACAAGUGACGUGAUCAACGACAUCUUUCCAAUCCAUCUAGCUAUAGACUUUAACUAAAGCACUUGUUAUGAGGCAACCCAAUUUUUUCUAACUUUUUUCUUUUUAUUUUCGUGCUUUUAUUUCAAUUACAAAAAAAAAUAUUAAAAAUCAGAAAAUUGAAAAUAAAUAUAUAAAAAGAUUAAAAAAUAAAGCAAUUUUUAAUUCUUGUUAUUUUUACUAUCUAAUUAGGUUUCUAAUUUGUGAUUGCAGGUUGCAUUCGGAACUAAUUCGGCCUAAUCUAAACUAAAGGCAUGCAAUCAACAUUCAUUCACUUCUCUGUCUCCCAUAAACUUAAUUUACAUACCAUUCAACAAAUUUCUUUGUACAUGGUUCCACAAUCGGGGAUUCAAGUGUGCAAAAGGGUCCACAUAUGGCAGAUCAAGUUUCAUGCAUGUGUUUGCUCAGUGCUCACAGAUACAUCGGUAGAGACAUGCAAGCACACACAAGUACAAAUUCAUGAGAAUGCAGAAGUCAUAUUCAUAGAGAUAAAUCACAUAAAUGCAGCACAAAAGUUAACAAACGUAAGGACUACAUUCUAGGGGUAGGUUCAAAAAACCGAAAACUGAACCGGACCGAGGCCGAAAAAAAUCGAACCGAAAAAAAAAUCGAACCAAAACUAUCAAACCAAACCGAACCGAAUCUGGCCAAUUUAGUUUCGAUUUUUAAGGUUCAAAAACCGAACCGAUCCGAUAUAUAUAUAUUUAAUUAUUUUUUUCAAUAUUAUAAAUAGUUUAGUAUACAAUCAUAACAAAACAUAACCUGUUGCCAAGUUGGUUUCAGUGAAACUUUUCAAAAUGCAGUGCAUGGGUUCGAACCCUCAUGUCCAAGAUUUCAGAGUAGUUUUUUAAUUUUUUUUGAGAAACCAACAAAAUCCUUUUAACCUUAGCCACUGGUAGUAGCAGCCACACCUUUUUUUUUUUUUUUUCAUUCCCCUCUUCUCUCUCUCGUUCCCUGUCUCCAAUGUAACCCUAACCCAGUAACCCUUUCGCGCAGCCGAGCCUCCUCUCUCUCGCUGGGUCUUCAACUUCAAUCGAUCUGUCUCUCUCAAACUCUCAGGCGACCCUUCUCACUCUCAAUCUCUCACACCUCGCCCUCUCGUCGUCAGUCUCUCAUCUCGCCGUCAGCUUUUUCUUGCCCUUUCGAGUCUUGACAGCAAAGGGUUAGCCUCCUCUCUUUCUCUCUCUCGGUCUUCAACUUCAAUCACUCUCUGUCUCUCUCAGUCUUGAAUCCCAGGCAACCCAUGACGGCGCGACCCUUCUCACUCUCAAUCUCUCACACCUCGCUCUCACCGUCUGUCUCUCAUCUCGCCGUGAGGUUCUUCUUGUAGUUUCGAGUCUCGACUGCAAAAGGUUAGUCUCAUACUCUCAUUUCUCUAUGUUUAAUUUUCUGUUCUAUUUAUCUAUUGAAAUUGGUUCUGAUUAAAGAGGUAUUCAUUUCAUACUUUUGCAUUUUCUAUUAAUCUGCCGAUUUUCUAGAUUUAUUAAUGUUAUGAAGUGACUGAGAUCCAUGAAUGUGUGCUCAUUUUCAAUGUGAUUGUUUCUGGGAUUUCAAUUCCUCCCCACAGAAGAAGAGCUGGUCCACUAUUACUUGCAGAUGAAGCUUGAGGGAAUGGAUUACAUUGUUAGCGACGUCAUCAAUGAAAUCAAUAUCUGCAACCACGAGCCAAGGGACUUGCCUGGUAAUUAUUUGCAAACCCCAGGUCUUAAAUUUUGAUUAUUUUUCUUAGUUCAACGAGUCUGAUAAUCUGUAUUUGCCAUUGGGUAUUUGGGUUUAAUCCAAAUGUAAAUUAAUUACCAAACCCAGUUCUUAAAUUUUAUGUUUUUAAAAUUUUGCUGAAAAUUUUAGUAAAAACUUUGAAUUUGCAGUUCAAUGAAUCUGACACUCCGUUUAUAUUGACUUGUGAAUUUUACAAACUUAAAGUAGAGCUCUCUUUCUUAGCAACGGUUGCAUUGUUAACCUCCCUCUUAUAUAUAUAUAUAUAUAUAUAUAUAUAUAUAUAUAUAUAUAUAUAUGUUGAUUAACCACGUAGUGAGAUAACAGUUUCAAUGUUAAUCUGCUAUGUUGCCUCCUAGGCAGCCUCAGCGUUGAGCUUGAGGAGUUGAAGAGAAGAAGUGCGUGGAAGACAUGAAAUCUUGAAGGUUUAUUUGAGUUUAUGAUUUUAGUUAAGUGGAAUAUUUCUGUAAAAUUUGGACUUUGUUAUGUUUAUUUUAGGUGUGGAAGAUUUGAAGUGUAAUGUUUAUUUUAAAUUUGGACUUUUUGAAGACUUAAACUUUGAUGUUUUUUUUAAGUUUGGACUUUGGAAGAUUUGAUUGAUGAUUCUAGUUGAACUUUUAAAUAUUUAUUUUCAUUGUGUAGGAAUGCUUAUGUUAUGAUUGUAUUGGAGAUGUUAAAAUUUUAGAUUUCAAUUUUUAAUCAUUUUCAAAAAAAAAAAAUAUCGAACUGGGUCGAAACCGAACCGGAAAAAACCAAACCGAAAAAAACCGAACCGAAAAAAAAUUGAACCGAACUGAAAUUUCAGUUCGGUUUCGAUUUUGGCAAAAAACCGAACCAUUUUGAACCGAACCCAGCCCUACUACAUUCCACAGAUCCAUGUUGAAAACAUAUUUCUAGGUUUCAAAAUUAUGCCUUUAAUUCUGACUCUGAGAAUUUUGAGACACCUGCUAGUUGGCUUCCCUUUGGAUUUGUGCAACAAUGCCAUUUCCAUCUGCGCCUUUUCUUAUGGGAUCUGCACCAAAUCCAAACCACAUGCAUGAGACUUUCAGAGUUUUUUUUGUAGACUAAUUAAGCAAUGAGAACAAACAUGGAGGUCGCUGAAAUUUACCUUUUGGUUGUCGACGAAUUGUGCACUGCAAGGAUUUGGGCUCAGAUUUGUUGACGAGAUUUCUCGAAGACUCGAGAAAUGAAGCCGCUGCUGUGACAUUAAAGUUAGGGGGUAAAGCCUUGGGUUGCAGGCAGAGAAGAUUAGAGAGGGAGGAGAUGAAAAGAAUGUAGCUGCUAGCCUGCUCAGGUUUGUGAAAUGAAGAUUGAAGCUGCUAAGUCAGCUUUUAUAGAUGCUGUUGCGAGGGUUUGACACACGUGUGCAGAAGGUUCCAUGAUAAUUGCUCAAAAGUGCAUGCCUAAUUCACUUUGAUUAUACCCGUUACAUGUUUUUCUCUAGUAAUUUAUCAAAUUUGUGCUUUAUCAUGUAUAACUGGUCAAAUAGGUUUUAUAUCUAAUUUGUUUUAAUUUUUUACUAAUGUUGUUGAUAGGGAUUUUACUACACACGCAAACAGACUAAAAACUUAUAUAAUACUUGCAAGAAUGACAAGGUUAUUAUAGUAUAAACGAAUCUCGCAAGGUCGUUCUCCACAAAGAUUAUUAAAUAAAUCAAAACAAACCAAAUUCCAAUUAAUUAUUGUAAAGCAAAAGGUUGAGAUAAUUGAUUUUUAUGACCUAAUUUAAUAAAACGAAUUUAAUUAAUAAAAGAAACUAAUAUGCAAUAUUAGAGAUGAAGAAAAAGAAACAGUUUUUAAAAUACCAAUUUAUAAAUGCACUAGGGUUCCACCAUCACUUAGCAAUCCUAUGCAUUUUUACCAAUUACUUAUGAUCUACACAUGCCACUUUGAAGGUUAGGUAUUCCUAAUUUAUAUUCUACUUGGAACUUCCAACAUAGAAUGUAUAACUAACAUGCAACACGUCCGGACGUUCGGAUCAAGUCUAAACAUGAAAGACUCAUUACGCUCUAUGAAAACCCCUUGAAAAACCAGGCAACCCCUAAGAUGUGGUGUUCAUCUUAAGUGAAAUUACAAUUAUUAAUCUCCAAAAACCCUAGCAAUUACUCUCUAUCUCUAAAGUUGCAUAAAAGAAAGCGUAGAGAAAUUGUCACAUUUUGGCCAGGGCGGAUCACUUCCCAGGCUCGCUCCACCACCGUAACACGAUAUUGUCCGCUUUGGGCCCUGACCACGCCCUCACAAUUUUGUUUCUGGGAACUCAUGAGGAACUUCCCAGUGGGUCACCCAUCUUGGGAGUGCUCUGACCCCCUUCUCGCUUAACUUCGAAGUUCCUACGAAACCCGAAGCCAGUGAGCUCCCAAAAAGCCUCGUACUAGGUAGGGAUGAGAAUAUACAUUUAAGGAUCACUCCCCUGGGCAAUGUGGGAUGUCACAAUCCACCCCCCCUUAGGGGCCCGACAUCCUCGUCGACACACUUCUGGCCAGGGAUUGGCUCUGAUACCAUUUGUCACAUCCCGGCCCAGGGCGGAUCACUUCCCGGGCCCGCUCCACCACCGUAGCACGAUAUUGUCCGCUUUGGGCCCUUACCACGCCCUCACGGUUUUAUUUCUGGGAACUCACGAGCAACUUCCCAGUAGGUCACCCAUCCUGGGAGUGCUCUGCCCCCUUCUCACUUAACUUCGGAGUUCCUUCGGAACCCGAAGCCAGUGAGCUCCCAAAAGGCCUCGUGCUAGGUAGGGAUGUGAAUAUACAUUUAAGGAUCACUCCCAUGGACGAUGUGGGAUGUCACAAUGAUAACGUUUUUAUAGUUAAUUCGCAUAUAUGUGAGACUUAUCCCGAGGACGAGCGCGUUUAAGGGCGACUUGAGGGCUACGACCCUUUGACAUACCAAUGAGUGGGCUUUUGGUUUUCAGUAUAUAUUUAUAUACUUGGGAUUUUCCCAGAAAAUAUGCUUAAAUGAGUUUAUGCCUUGAAUACCAUGCAUAUGAGUUUAUAAUUCGUAUAUGAAUUGGUAUAUAAUGCAUUAUAUAUAAUUAUGAUUUUGUGGACGCUCAGGUAAGCUUAGGUGAGUUAUGUUUGGUCAUGUGAAUUAUCGAUGAUGUGACAUGUGAUUGAAUAACGUUAAGCUCAUAAAACUGCACCUAGGGUGAUUGUGAUUUAGCCAGAUAUAUGGCACAGGUCUGUUUAUAAUGUCACCUCCCGCACCAUAUGCUUAUAUUGGAUCCAAUUUAGGUGCACAGUCUUGUCGUACAGACCUUCAUUAUGGUUCCAACUCGUAUGUGACUAGCGAUUUAUCGCCAAGCUAUUAUGAAAGAGUAGUGUUGAGCAUAAUUAUAUUACACCCAGUAUUGUCAUACAGACCUUUUCAUUUGGUUCUGACUCUUGUGCAGUAUAGUGACAUAUAGGUCAUUCUAGUGGCUCCGGCUAGAUUGACUUAUAAGCUAUGAAUUUAACCGUACAGACUACCACAGGGGUUCCGGCUAACAUGUUAUAUUUCUAUGAAGUUAUUCUUACCUGAAUUGCUUACUCUAUUAUAUCUUAGUAUGGCGUACAUAUGAAAAUGAUUAUGUGAAGCAAAUUGAUAUAUUUACAUAUAUAUUUAUGUAUAUGCUUAUAUUCUAAUUCUGGGAAAAAUUAUACAUGUUUUACAGUGAGGGUUAGAUAUGUUGAUAAAAGAAAUGGUCUUGUGAAACAUUUAUUUUUGCCCACUCACGUUUUCUGUUUGUGCCCCUCCAGGUUUUAGUAAGCUUGUUGUUGCUGGGUUCGAGGAUUUUGGUGGUUCUGACAUAUCAAAAUAAUUGUAGGACAUCUUAUGGUAUUGUAUAAUUAGUACUUGUCCUACUGGACUACACCUAGACUUACUAUGCUCUGAUUAGGAGGAUUUACUUUAGUAUCUUACUCCUAACACUUCCUAUUUAUUAGUGCACUCUAGUAGUUUCAGUUUUUAAUUAUUCAUAUAUUCCUUAUCUUUAUUGCUUUCGCACUGUGCACAUGGCUACGUCACCCGCACGUGAUGGCCAGCAUGCCUUGAUCUCGGUCGGGGUGUGUCAGUUUGGUAUCGAUUGUGACAUCCCUCAUCGCCUAAGGGAGUGAUCCUUAAAUGUAUAUUCACAUCCCUACCUAACACGAGACCUUUUGGGAGCUCACUGGCUUCGGGUUUCGUAGAAACUCUGAAGUUAAGCGAGAAGGAGGCCAGAGCACUCCCAUGAUGGAUGACCCACUGGGAAGUUGCUCGUGAGUUCCCAAAAACAAAACCAUGAGGGCAUGGUCAGGGCCCAAAGCGAACAAUAUCGUGCUACGGUGGUGGAACGGGCCCGAGAAAUUAUUCACCCCAGGCCGAGAUGUGACAGAAAUAUUGUGGACGGAAAAGCAAUAUAUGUUGCUAUCCAUCGCACAAACCCUAAAAACCAGGUCCUUUAUUCCAACUAGGAAACUAAGAAUAAUAAUAAAAUUCUAAUUAAGCUAGGAGAAUCUUCCAAGUACUUGUCCAGCCAUGUUUUAGCCUCAAAUAUCUUCCAAAUUCGGCCGAUGAUAGCUUGUUUUGAAGAUCAAGACGUUCUGAACAUAUCUCCAGAAGGCCAUGAACUCAUCUGAGGUCAUCUUGGGCUCCAAAAACGCAAUUCAAGCCCAAAACGUCAAUAUUCCAGCACUGCACAUCGCUUUUUUAUUUUAUCUCCAGAAAAUAACCAUCUGGUGGAAAAAUCUGAUAUUUUGACACGAUCAAGCUAAUUGACUCAUGAACGUCCUCCAACUAGAAUUAUUCCAAAAUUCAUCCAUUUGAUUAUGUUUUGCUCAGAGGAAAUCGAAAUUCCUAUAUUGAAAAUACAAUUCAAAGUAUCAAAAGAAAUGAAGAAAGGAGAAGGCAAAGAAGAAGAAAAAGAAACGGCAAGCCAUUACCAUUUCAACAUGGCAUUAACAUAAUAAUAAUAAUGGGUUUAUCAAUGACCAUUAUUCAAAAAGAAUAUGAAGGGAGGUUGGUUGGGAUAGCAACUCAUAUAAUCUCUCCAUUUGAUUUUUUCCAAGGGGCCCGGCUUUUUCAUAAUUUUAGACUUUUCCUUUUCUAUUUAGUUUAUGGAGAACUAAUCUCUCUAGCUAAAGCUAGGGGGGAACCUAUAUUACAAGUAUGUAGUUUUAUUAUUUCGAUUCUAUUUCGGAGUUUUAAUGUGAAUUUUACAUUGUGGAUUUUCAAUGGAAUUUCUUAUUUAUUCUAUUUUCGGAUUGAUGAAUGUUGGCUAUGGUUCAUAAGUUUAAUCAUGUUUUUCUUAUAGUUUUGUUUCACAUUCAUGCUGACACACCCCGAUCCUAGAAUCAAGGCGUGCUGGCCGUCACGUGAGUGUGACGUAGCCAAAAGUGCGACACGGAAGCAAGAUAUAACCUAAAUAUGAAGGAAAUUAAACCAACCACUAGCAGAAAUAACCUACUAAUAUAAAAGGAUGAGAGUUAUAAAGUAAAACACACAAGUUCAGAGCGUAGGUCAAAGUGCAGUCAAGUAGGACUAUAAUUAAAAAUACAACACCCACAGGUGAGUCCUACAUGUAAUACGUCUGUCAGAAUGCCGAAAAAGACCUCGAGAGCCACCAACUGCUAAUUAGAACCUGGAGGGGCGCAAAACAAAGGUGAGUGGGUCAGUAAAACCAAAGAUUUUCAAAAAAACGUUUCAUUUAAAACAUUUCUAACCCCUCACCGUAAAACCUGUAUACUUUCCCAGAAAACAGUAUAUAAACAUAUAUAUACAUAUAUCAUCAAAACUCAUCUCACCAUCUAUCAACAUAACAUCUCAGAAAGAAUAUGUCAUGCCAUGCCCAAAAUAGAAUAAGAAUGCAUCAAUAUAAAUCAAGUGAAAUAAUAAAUUAACCGGAGACCCUACAGUGGUCCUGUACGGUUGAUUCUAUAGCUCAACAUCCCACUCAGCCGGAGUCGCCACGGUGACCUAUACGGCCUAACUCUGCACAUCACUCGGAACUACAUAUGGUAGUCUGUACGAUGAAAGGUGUAUAAAUACGCUCUAGUGCUUCUCUCAUCAAUCAUCGGCGCGCAUAACUAAGGUCACCCACUAGUCGGAAUCACAUCUAGUGAUCUAUACGACUAGCAUGUCAGAACCCUCAUAUGGUCCGUACGACAUCCACCUACUUGGAUCCAAGACGAGCGUGCGGUGUGGUGAAUAACAAUAUAAGCACUAACACCUAGGGUGCAGGUUAUGAGCUUCAAUGCAAUUCUCAUAAAUAAAUCAUCUGAAUAAGGUAAAAACUCACAUGUGCGUCCAUCGAGUCAUUUCACAUAUAUAUGCAUCAAUUCUUAAUUCAAAUAUCUCAACAAUUGCAUGCAUGACAAUUUAAAUCAUAUUUUCAUAUAAACGCAUUUUCUGGGAAAAACAGUAGUAUAUAGGUAAUACGAAAACAAAACUGCCCACUCACUGGUAAGUCGAUGGGUCGUAACCCCCGUGACGUCCCUGGAUGCGCUCGUCCUCGGGAUAGGUGUCACCUAUAUGCGAAACAACUAUAAAAACGUUAAUUUAAACACAUAGCCAACAAUUCGAAAUAACUUCUCAUACGAUACUCAAUUUGGGUAUAGGAAUAUACCACAUCGACCUACUCGACGUCACGGACGUCGGGAAAUUUUUAGAAAAACUUUUGGAGGCCGCACACGCCCCCACGCGCAUCAUCCCUAACCCUGGGCUCGCCGGACUGAACUUUUCGGCGGCUGGUUUUCGGCCAAACUUGUAACUCCUUGUUCUCCUUCGUUUCUCAACCAUUUUCUUCGAAUUUUAUAUCAAUUUGAAGCCCUCAACAUGUAGAAUCACGAUGGACUAGUUUUAGGGUCUAAAAUUCACUAUAUUUUACCUGGAGAAGCACGAUAGUUCGGGAAACUUUGAGGACUUCGUUCUCGGUCCUCCGACGUCCAAAUAUCACCAACGAAGUACUCCGAGGCUCGUGAGGAUGUCCUUAAGCUCACUGUGAGCUUGAAAUUUCCUGAAACGUAAGAUUUUACGUGUGCAUGAACAGUGCACAUUUUCGGGGUUAGGGUUUCACGACGAUUCCGAGGGUUUCACUUCCUAAAACUAGUACCAAUCAACUUAGAACAUCAAGAGGGUGAAGAAUCAUACCUUAUUUGCUUCGAUCCAUGAAGUUUUGGAGGGUUUUGGUUGACGUCCGUACGUUUAUGGGUGAGAGAGAGUGAGAGAGGGUCGUGAGGGAGGAGAGAGAGGGAAGGUACGGGAAAGGGAGAGAGAGCAAGGAGUGUAGGUGGUCCACUCUAAUCCACACCAUCCAUUUAAUCCCUAACCACACAAUAAUCCAAUAUAAAAUUUUUAUAUCCAACUUAAACAAUUUUUCCAAAAACUUAGGAACCAUGAAAAAUUCAAAACAUAUCACACACAUACCUUAGUAACGUCAAGGGUAGUAUCGUCAUUUCACGCUCCCGAUAUAUAAAUCCCGGGACGGGCUGUGACACAUGCUUUUAGUGAAUUGAAUAAAUUAGUAAAUUGGUACGAUUUCGACGGAGUAAUUUCUUAAUAUUUUGUUGCCAUAGGUACAAAUUAUAUUUGGGAUUACUUCUAUAAGAAAUUGAAUGGGCGUUUUGUUUUGAAUAUCUACAAUGAAAAUCAGUUUUCAAGAAGCUUUAUAUGAGGAAAACUUAAUUGCUAUAUUUUCCAGUUGAGAUCACUUGUUGUUGGUAUCUUAGUUGAGUUAUAAAAAGAAAUCGAAAUAGUGAAAUUGCAUAGUUGUAUGCGGGUGGAACCCUGAUGCUUUAGUGUUUUUAAUUGUUGAACUUUUCUUCUAUAAGUUACAUCUCAUUCGAUAUUAUUCUUUGUUUCAGUCUUGAUAAUUCUGCAUUCUUUUUCAACGCUCUUUGAGGAAUACGACACUCGAACUUCGAGUGUAUACUGCUACUCGACACCUACACUUGGGUUUAGCAAGCAAUCCACAUAUAGCAGAUCAAGUUUCAUGCACGUGUUUGCUCACAUAUACAUCAGUAGAGACAUGCAAGUACACACAAGUAUAGAUUCAUGAGCAUGCAGAAGUCAAAUUCAUAAAGAUAAAUCACAGAGAUGCAGCACAGAAUUUCACAGAUAUUCAUUAGCAUGAAUGCACGUAUUCCUUAGUCUUUUCUCAUUUAUUUUGUUUUUCUGUUAACUCUUUUUUCUUUUAGUUAUUUUCUCUUUAAUUUUCUUUUCAUGUUUUUACAUAGUUUAGUUUAAUUUAUUUUAGUUCAGGUUGUUUUUAUCGACUAUAUUAUUUUUGUCUCUUUCUUUAUUUUUAUUUAUUUUUCACACUUUGAGGACAAAGUGUGAUUUAAGUUUGGGGGUGGGAAAGUAUAAAUUUUAGGUUUUUAAUUUUUGAGUUAGUAAAUCUAUAUAUUAUUUUAAACGUUAGAACAAGUGGACAUGGUGAAUGUUAAUCCCACAAUAAAGUCUUUUCUAUUUAUUGUUGCUUAGACACUAAUUCAUGAGUUAUACUUUGAAAAUUUGCACAUGCACACCAACAUGGUUUGUGGGGAGUGAGAUUGAAACACUUACUUUUCGUUUGAGUUAAUUUUAAUUUUUGUUCUAAAUAAGUAAAGUUUUAGCUUUUGUUAUAAAUAAUUGUUAUGAAUAAAGUAAUAAUUGUUCUAAUGAGACUUUGCUUAGUAACCGGGCCAGUCCUGCCUGAUCAACAUUGAUUCUCACGUCAAAAGGUUGAGUCUUGGCAUGGGGCAGAAUGGUUAGUUGAUUUCGUAGCAUUUUCAGGUUGAGUUAGUAAGUCGUUAGGAGUGUUCUAACCUAGUGCCCUCAAGCCUUUUGGUUGGGGAGUCAUUGACCUAAAACUCAUUACAUGAGUUGAAUCAAAAGCUUAAUGAAACUAGCAUUGCACGACCAUCACUAUUGCUAGCAAAAAGGAGAAAAAAAAUGAUAAACAAAAAAUUGAGAAAAGUCGAAAAGAAAAAAGGAAAAAAAUGUGUGUUUGAAGUUUGAAUAUGUUUGAAUAAAAACGACGAGAGGUAGGGAUUUUAGUCGAGUUUCCUUAAUUUUGUUGGUUCACUUUACAAUAAAGGAAGUGCAUGAAUUCUUUUCUAAUUGGUUAUAAAUAGCUUGGAUCUUGUGGUGGGAUUAGUUGGAACUUUUGGAAAGAUAUUCAAAUUUUCGUUUUCUAUGACUGGCAACUUGAAGGUGAAAUUUGUCUUAGCUAGUUUUGAUUAAGUUUUUAGUUUGUUAGCUUUUGUUUUUGUUUUCUAGUUUUGUUUUGCUUGAGGACAAGUAAAAGGCUAAGUUGGGGGUAUUUUGAUGAGUAAAUUUUAUACUAUAUAUUUUACCCUAUUCUUAGUUAUAAUUUAUUGGUUAUUUUGUAAGAAUUUUGAUACUUUGAAUUGUAACAGCCAAGCAGGCUCCUAUGGUGAAGAAAUUCUUAGGUCCGGGCACUCGCACCACACAAGGCAUGCGGCACUUCUCACGAGUCAAAAAUACAACGGGAUCCACAGAAUACUGUCUCUGCGAAGUUGGUGCCACUCGGUUGCCUGAUGCCAUAUGCAGCCUCCGCACAGAACAAUGGCUCUGACAUAACAAAUUGAAAUACUCUUGUCCUACCAAAACCUACCUACAUAUAUACAAUACACCUUACCACACACGCAACAAGAUAAUAACGAAGCCAAGCAUUUGCAUGUUUCUGUAAUUUUUCAUUAGCAAAAUGAAGAACGGAAGACGAGAACUUGUGAACAACACAACUGCUUGAUCAAUAAACCACAAAAAAAAAAAGGAAAAUAUAACAAAUUCCACAAUUCUACUUCUUGAUACAUCUGCUAGAACAAACACACAAGUCUAAGAUCCGAAAAAAGAUUGUAUUAAGAACGGAAAAUCCUCCAUAUUGCAACAACUGAUAAAAAAAAAAUGUUCCGACCAGCAUGUGUAACCGACUGCAUGUACAUAAUUAUGCAUCAUACCAGCUGGAGAGGCGUUCAACCAUCAUCUAUCAUGACCAAAAGAUUUACUUGCAUUUUGAUUAAGGAUCGAUUUUAAAAAUAUUUUCACCAAAACCGCUUUCAGCCAUUUUAAAAAACAUUUCAAAACGAGCUCAUAAAGUUUUAUUUACUAAUGAGUUUUAAACAAUCUAAUAAUCAAAUUAAUACAUCAUUUUUGGCACAAGGAACAGACAUCCGUUACUCACUUGAAUGGAUAAUUAUGCGUGCAAGUAUCCAAGUGCACACGCAAUAAACGUGUCCAUUAAUAUGAUUGGUCCUUAAUUCAAGGGAUCUCUCUUAGCUGUAAAGUAGUUUUAGGUGUGUGUUAUGGGAGGUCAAAAGGUUAUGUCUUCUACCUUGCCUAUAUAGUGUAACUUUGUCUCUUGUGCAUCUUACAAUUUAUAAUAUACAAAAAACCUUCAAAUUACAAUAUGGUAUCAGAGCAGUAGCCCUAACGGGCCUAUCUCUGUAUAUCCUUGUGUGUUAAACUCUUUCUCAACCUUCUACAAUGGCUGAAGAGAGCUCAGUUAAUCUUGAGGCAGAAAUCUCCCAUGCUUCUCCGUCUUCCAUCUUGUCUGACGUUGAUGUAAACCCAAACCAACAUCUGAGUUCAAUGUUAUUAAAUGAAUUUAAUUAUCUUCCAUGGGAAAGAGCUGUGCACUUGCUCUGGGAGGACGAUCGAAACUUGGCUAUAUCAAGGGAGCCAUUCCUAUUCCCGAAGUUGAGUCACCAACGUAUGACGCAUGGCUCUGCAAAGAUCAGCUUGUUAUGUCAUGGUUGCUCAACUCUAUGGAACGAAAGAUUGUUGAGAUCUUCAGCUAUGCUGAAUCUUCCAUGCAUCUUUGGAAAAAUCUUAAAGAGAUGUAAGGAAACCAGAAUAAUACUGCUCGAGUUUUUCAACUCAAGAAAGACAUUGCUGGGUUGCAGCAGGAAGGGAAAUCAUUUGUACAACACCUUGGAAUGCUGACAACGAUGUGGAAUGAACUCAAUGUCUAUCGCCUUCACACCACCGACGUUGAAGUACUGUUGAAACAAGCCGAGGAAGACAAAAUAUUCUAACUACUGGCAAGCUUAAGUUCAGACUUUGAGGAUCUUCAAAGUCACAUUCUCAUGAACGUUGACCUUCCUUCUUUUUCAAGCAUUUGUGCAACUAUUCAAAGGGAGGAAGUUCGUAGAAAGGUGAUGAACAUGGAGGUGAAAACUAACCUACCUGAAACUAGGGCUUAUGCUUCCAAUUAUAAGUCUAUUGAGGAAAGAAGUUACAAAGGAAAGCGAGGGGAUUUGAAAUGUAGCUACUGUAAUAAUGGUGGUCACUCAAGGGAUAGGUGUUGGAUUCUUCAUCCAGAAUUAAAGCCUAAAUUCUUGAGAGAUCACAAGGCUCCCUCAAAUGCUACGUAUGGCUCACCUCACAAAGUUAAUCUCGCAGCCUCUGAUCUCACAACUUAUGUCACCCCGGAUGAGAUGUCCAAAUUCACUACCAAUCCGUAACUCUAAUCAAUGAGUUUGCAGCCUUCCUUCAUAAGAAACAAGGGAUCAGAGAUGGUGAAUAAGGUUCCUCAAAUCAGACAGCUCUACUUAGGCAUUUUGCUGGGUUUCUAGCUAAAAAUAAGAACAUUGCUUCCAAAGAUAUCACAGGUAUUCUGAAAUCUUUUUCAACUGCUCUCUCAGUUAGUAGUGCACAUGAUUAUUGGAUUGUAGAUUCAGGUGCUUCUGAUCACAUGACGAAUAAGGUUACAAACCUACAUAAUUUUGAAACAAUAUAUGCACCCUCUCAUGUGUCUGUUGCCAUUGGCAAAGGGGCUUCAGUUCUUGGAAAAGGGAAAAUAAACUUGAUAUCCAACAAUGUUGAGUCAAAUGUUCUCUAUGUUCCGUCAUUUCCUUUCUAACGUUUAUCUGUUGGACAACUCACAAACUCACUCAAAUGUCUUGCCAUUUUUUCUCCCUGCAUUGUCGUGUUUCAGGAUUUAGUCACCAAGAAGAAGAUUGGUGAAGGUUUUUAUUUAAAUGGUCUCUAUUAUGUGUCCAGGAAAUCCAAGUACCGAAAGCUUUUCAAGUCAGUACAAGCCAAGCUCAAGAACAAACUUUGUGGCACCAACGAUUAGCACACCCCUCUUAGAAUGUCUUGACCUCAUUGUUUCCAAGCCUAUGCAAAAAUGUAAACCAAUGUGAUGUUUGUCACUUAUCUAAGUUUGCUAGGUUACCAUUUUCUUCUUCAAUGUCUAGGGCUAGUAAUCCUUUUGAAAUCGUGCAUUCUAAUAUUUGGGGGCUAGUUUUAGAGUCCUUUGAUGGAUACAAAUAUUUUGUAACCUUUGUUGAUGAUUUCACAAGGAUCACUUGGUUGUACCUUUCGAAAUUUAAGAGUGCAGUUAUAGAUGUUUUCCAAGAUUUUCACAAACUUGUCACUACUCAAGUUUCGCCAAAAAUUCAUAUCGUAAGAUCAGAUAACAGCACUGAAUAUAUGUCCAAUAAGAUGUCACACUAUUUGAGCACAUAAGGUAUACUAAAUCAAACAAGUUGUGUUGGAACACCCCAACAAAAUGGGAUUGCUGAAAGAAAAAAUAGGGACCUUCUUGAGAAAACUAGGGCUCUCAUGUUUAACAUGAAUGUACCAAAGAAGUUUUGGUCCUAAUGAGUACUUACUGCAGCCUAUCUCAUUAAUAGGUUACAGAGUUUUAAAUUUCAAAUCUCCUCAUGAAGUUUUGAAAGGAAAAUCUCUAAAUCUAUCACACUUGAGAGUACUUGGUUUCACAUGUUUUGUUCAUGUUUAAACACCUCAUCGAGACAAGUUGGAUCCGAAGGCCAUAAAGUGUGUGUUUCUGGGUUAUUCAUCCACUCAAAAGGGUUAUAGAUGUUAUAAUCUAACAACAACAAAAAUGGUGAUCUCAAGAGAUGUAAAGUUUGAUGAAAACAUGCCCUACUUCGCUCGUCCAACUAACUAUCUAGUCAGGGGGAGCACUUGAUGGAUCUUUUUCCCAUGCCUCACUUGGGUACUAUUGAGCAUGAUGUCUUAGAACCUCUUCCAAGCCAAGUAACUCCAAUUUUUCAUGAGGAACUUGAUGAGCAGGAAACAUCUUUGGCACGUGAACAUCCGUCUAGUUCAAAUGAUAACAUCCCCUCAAUGAUGGCAUCAACUCCACAACCUGCCAGUCAAGCUUGUCGUAAUCAUCCACGACAAAGAAACCCUUCACCUAGAUUGCAUGAUUAUGUGACCUAUAAUUCCAAGUACCCGCUGACAAGCGUUCUUGAUUAUGAGAAGUUUUCGUCUAAUCAUGCUGCCUUCUUAACGGCAAUCACAAAUACACAUGAACCCUAGACCUUUGAUAAGGCAAACAUUCAUGAUGAUUGGAGAAGGGCAAUGGAAGAAGAACUUCAGGCUCUCCAUAACAAUCACACAUGGACGGUGGUCAAACUUCCUAAGGGAAAGAAUGUUGUGGGGAGUCGGUGGAUAUACAAAAAUAAGUUCAAGUCUGAUGGAACCAUUAAGAGGCAUAAAGUUCGCAUGGUUGCUCGUGGAUUCACAAACUUAUGGAGUUGAUUAUAAGGAGACUUUUUCCCCUGUGGCAAAAAUGAACACUGUCCGAGUUCUCUUAUCAUUUGCCAUCAAUUGUGCAUGGCCUCUUUUUCAAAUGGACGUUAAUAAUGCCUUCUUGCAUGAUGAUCUCGAAGAAGAAGUUUAUAUGAAACUUCCACCAUGCCACUCACAAAUAGGUGAUAAGGAUAUGGUGUGCAAAUAACAUACGUCCAUCUAUGGCCUUAAGCAAUCUCCUCGAGCGUGGUAUGCCAAACUUAGUUUGGUGCUGGAAAAUGCUGAUUUUCAACGGAGCAAUGUUGAUUCAUCUCUCUUCAUUCGAAUUGGUUUCACUGGAAAACUUGUUUUACUCAUUUACGUUGACGAUCUUAUUGUGACCGGUGACAACCUAUCUAAGAUUCACUCCCUCAAGCAGUAUCUUCGCAACAAAUUUGAUGUCAAAGAUCUUGGUACUCUCAAGUAUUUUCUGGGCAUCGAACUGGCUCGUUCUAGCAAAGGUUUGUUCCUAAACCAACGAAAGUAUGUUCUUGAUCUCCUGUAAUAAGCUGAAAUGUCAGCAUGCAAACCAGCUCACACCCUACUGGACACCAAUCUUAAACUAGACAUUCAAGGAGAGCCACUCACAAAUUUGAGCUAUUAUCAACGAAUGGUUAGCAAGCUCAUUUAUCUUACCAUUACAAGACCUGACAUCUCAUAUGUCGUGAGCCUUGUCAGUCAAUUCAUGCAUUCCCCAACUACAACUCAAUUGAAGAUUGUAUAUCGCAUUCUUCAUUAUCUCAAAGGUUCAGUUGGUAGGGGCAUCUUGAUGAAGAAGAACAACCAUACAACAAUCAUAAGCUACACUGAUGCGGAUUGGGCAGGCAACUCUAUUGAUCGCAAAUCAACCAUAAGUUUUUGCACGUUUGUUGGUGGCAAUCUUGUCACUUGGAAAAGCAAGAAACAAAGUGUUGUGGCUCGAUCAAGCGCAGAGGUGAAGUAUGGUGCCAUGGCAUCCACUGACUGUGAACUAAUUUGGCUUAAAGGUCUCCUUGGUGAUUUGGGUUUCUCUAAUACUCAACCUAUGUUUUAUGUUUUGUGAUAAUCAAGUCGCAAUGCACAUUGCAUCCAACCCUAUGUUUUACGAAUGCACAAAGCAUAUCGAAGUUGAUUGUCACUAUGUUCACACCCAGGUUCAAUCCAAUAUCAUUGAUACUCACUACACGCGAAGCCAUGAUCAGUUAGCCGAUGUUUUCACAAAAAUUCUUGCUUCUACUGGUUUUCAGCAUAUUUUGGUCAAGCUUGGAUCAAUCAACCCCUUUGAUCCAGCUUGACGGGGGUAUUGGAAGAUGAGUGUAAGUAGGUUGGCUGUUUACAUCAGCUGUCUUGUGUCCUUAAUUCAAGGGAUAUCUAACUUGUGUUCUUAAUUCAAGGGAUUACUUGUGUCCUUAAUUCAAUGGAUCUCUCUUAGCUGUAAAGUAGUUUUAGGCGUGUGUUAUGGGAGGUUAGAAGGUUAUGUCUUCUACCUUGCCUAUAUAGUGUAACCUUGUCUCUUGUGCAUCUUACAAUUUAUAAUAUACAUAAAACCUUCAAAUUACAACACAACUCGAAUGAGUUUAAGUAUUGGUCGAAAGGGGUUCGAAUUGUUCUAAAUCAUGAGAAAAAAUGGUCAAGUCUAUUUGUGUGUGAAAUACAAUGUUUUAAAGGGCAAAGGCACCAAAUGGGUAUAAAAAUCAUCAAACUCAUGAACUGACAAAAUGAAGAAAAAAAAUUGCAAAAACCUAAUUAAUCACCCCACAUAUAUGAACAAUAAUAAAGAAUAUAUAAUUGUGUUUUGCUUACGUAAUGGUGAUUUUUCUGUAGAUAGGGAGACUUUUGGCAACAAUCUCAUCCAAGCAUUGCAGAUCGCAUUAGAAAAUUAAGAAAAGAUUUCAUUGUUUUUGUUAUUGGCUUAAAGUCAGCAGGUAGUUUGUUUUACAACUAGUUUUUUUUUUUUUUGGUCAAACGAUUUGUUAGAUUAUAGAGCCAACGGGGUUCGAACCUAUGUCAUGAUGCAAGGGCAACACUCCUCUCCACGACAGCAGGUAUUGGCAGUAGUUUUUUUUUUUUUUAAACGAUUUUUUUUAAAUUUAUCAAAACCUAUUCGAACGCAAGGGGCGCAACCUCCUGAUGCCCGCCGCAACACUUCUUCUUUUAUUUGUUUUUUCAGGUUUAUUAAUAUUUGUUGUUUUUCAAUCUUAUUUUUUGUCAUUAAUAUUAGUUAAAAUCCCCAUAAGCAUCCAUGUCAUUUAAUGAAUAAAUAAGAACCCUUAGAUGUUAUAAAAUCUAAAGGCUACACAUAAGUGUAAAAAUAUUUGUAAGAUAUGUAGUCUUAAAAGGAAAAAAAAAAGGAUAACAUAACGUCUUUUUAAUAAAAGAAUCUAUUGCCAGUUAGUAUUACAGUCUAGUGAUAUUCCUCUUCAGUUGUAAGUGAGAGGUCUUAGGUUCAAUUCUUGCCAAAGGUGAAUUUGAACUACGCUAACACAUUGUGAGGUUUAGUGCUGUAGCCCACUCCCUCACCCCCUUAGGGCUAGUUUAGUAUUGUUGUGCUUUAAAAUUAAAUAAAGAAAUAAAUUGUUCUACUAUGCUGUGAGAUUAAACAGCUAAAAAAUAAAGUUGUUGAGUGUUUGAUAGUGUUCGAGUAUCUAGUAACUUUUAAAUAAACUGCUAUGAAUAUGUUAAUGACUAAAAAUAAUGAUAUUUAAUGUGAUAUAUUAAAUUGUCAAAGAGAAUGAUGUAAGGGUAAUAAUUAUAAUUUUACAAAAUAUGUGGAGGGUAUACUUGCCAUAUGAAAAUUUAUUAGAUGGACACUGAUUAGUAUGAAUCUAAAAUAUGGUACAUAUGUCAAAUUAUGGAGAAAUUCUAAGGUCCGCAAGUCCGACCAACUCACCCCUACAGACCCAGACACAAAAAUCUUCCCUUUACCUCAUCCCCUAUUUUGUCAUGUUAACCUGAACCACUUUUGAUCCAUCACUCUCUCACACCACCCCCCCCCCCCCCCCCCCCCAAAAUUCAGGUGCCGUACACAAGAACAUCUCUUAAUUGUGACCUAGUAUUUCUCGUUAGAAGAAGUUCUUAGGUCCGGACAAUCGGGCCACACAAGGCAUGUGGCACUUCUCACAAGUCACAAAUACACCGGGAUCCCCACAAUGCGGUCCCUGCGAAGUUGGUUCCACUCGGUUGUCUGAUGCCAUAAGCAGCCUCCGCACAGAACGAUGGCUCUCACAGAACAAAUUGACAUACUAUGUCCUAUCAAAACCUACUAACAUGUAUACAAUACACCUUACCAUACACGCAACAAGAUAAUAACGAAGCCGAGCACUUGCAUCUUUCCGUAAUUUUUCAUUGCCAAAAUGAAGAACGGAAGACGAGAACUUGUGAGCAACACAGCUACUUGAUCAAUAAACCACAAAAAAAAAAGGCAUUCUACUUGUUUAUACAUCUGAUAGAACAAACACAAAGGUCUAAGAUCCAAAAAAGAUCGUACAAAGAUUAAGAACGGAAAAUCCCCGAUAUUGCAACUACUGAUAGAAAAAAGUUCCGACCAGCAUGUGGAACAACAGCUCUUCGUCACAACAGAAGUUCAUAGCUUGUUCCAUCUCUUUAUUCUAUCUGACUAAUGUCCACAGUUCUGCAACCGACUGCUUGUACAUAACUAAAUAUCCUACCAUCAGGAGAGGCGUUCAACCAUCAUCUAUCAUGACCAAUACGCCUUCAACCAUCAUAUGCAUCGAUCAAAAGCCAAAAAGAUAAUUUAGUAAAUAUCUAAUGAGAAACACCACUCUAUCGUUAAGGUUCUUCUUCGAGAAGGUAUUACCACAAUGACCUGAAAAAACAUGAAAAAUAUGAAUAAGCUUUUUUCUAACUUGCUGGGUGGGUCGAAUAACUCAACCUUCACAAGGAUGAACUCCGACUAGUAUAUGCAUGUAUAUUAGAGUACAACAUGGAUAACCAUAAUACUCAAAUAUGAAAAUGAAAUGAAGUACCGAAACUCUAGUUCCUGCUUAGUUUGUUGAACAUCCUUUCUAUCGCAAUUCUCAAAGAAGUUCAAACAAGAAUGUUCUACAAGAUUCCUACGCUGGCACCCAACAAGAAGAAGCAUACACAAUUCGGCCCUUCCAUCCUUGAAGCAUCCAAUCACUAUCUUGAUCAACUACAAAAUCUUUGUGGUACCAUGCCUUCACCUUAUCCCUUAAGAAUCUUCACUAAAUCUUGGUCCAAAUUGCAACGGCUGUAAACCAGCCCUCAUGCAUCGAACCUGCCACUGCUUAUAUGUCUCAGGCCUCUCAACCCUCUCUACGCCCUCACAUGCUAUUACAUUCAUAGCUUCCCUGCCAUAGAACUCACUCUCAAACCUCAA